rnacentral:lncRNA from 1 species
CAAAGGAAGGUAUGCUAAUCCAUGCUUCACCCUGAGUACAUCGCAGAAAACUUCUUUGAGGCACACUCGAGUUCUUGCACUAUGUAGAGCUUUCUUGAGAGAAACUGUAAUAAUAUAGAGUGAUGCUCUUAUUUAAAUAUAUGCAUACUUCUACCGAGUCGUUGCUUUGAAGAUCUACUCAUCUUCUAGCAAGAAAAGGAGAUCACGUCUUACGGCAUGAGAUAGUUGUGGGUCAUACAAAAUCUCCCAAGUGCAAGUGGAAUUCGUGCUGAACACAGAUGAUGCAGGUUUUAUACUAUUUACUUCCACCAAACACAGUAAACUUCAGGAGCUACAUGAGCUGAUCAUUUCCAACCCUUGGCUUAUGGACUAUCAUGUCAUAUUGCAAUACAAUUACUUGUGACAGCAACAGAAGAAGAAAAACUUGCAAUCUUAUCCGCUCUUUUGCUUAUAUGUUGUUGUAGAACACAGGUAAUCAAAUUCUCUACUGUAGUCAUAACUCUGUAGUUUAUUAUGGUCGGCUUACGAAGUAUAUGUUUGUAGCUUAAUUUAAGGCUUCUUUUUUUUUUCCAUGUAGAGAAAAUAAUGGCAGAGUCGAGAUGUUCUAAGCCUUUAGAUACAAGUCUCUGCAGGUAAACAAACUAUAGUUCAUUAAUGAGGCAGUACUACCAGCUCAUGGAGCAUGCAACACUCUGCAGUGAACUCACAUGGGGUUAUCUAUUUUCUUUGCUGUGGUGUCAUCCACAACAAGCAACACCAUGCUUCUCUUUUCACCAGCUCUCUUUCUGCAAAAGAGACUGUGUGAUAACACAAGGAGAGCAGCACUUUCUGAGGCCAUUGACCUUGCCAUGAACGGCCAUGAUGAAGGAGGGGGGGGGGGAACACUUCCUGAAGCUUGAGGAGACAAAAUUAUAGGGCUUGAUGCUCAGAAUAAUGGGGACACCUUUGUGCUUGCAGCAACAAGUGGUGGACCCCCCCAGGCUUUGCCCACCCACAAGUUGAUCAUGGUGGUGUUAGGGUUUUCCCCAGACCACCACAUCCAUGGCAUAAGUAGGAAGGAAAAGAAAACUCAUGAGGAAACCCUAGCAAUAUUAUUCCUGUGGCAGGCUCUCUCAAUCAUAGGUGAACAAGUAUGAUUGGAUUAGCAACAACAAAAUAAUCACUCGAGUGGAGCCCUUGAGAUGUCUAAAUAAUGUGCUGCUGUUGGAGUGCCAAGUGAGAUAGAGGGAGGGGGCAACUCCACCUUGGUUGCAGAGAUCCUUACUGCUCGAAGGACUUCUUUUUCCUCCUGUUGUUAGGGUUUUUUCCUAGGCUACAGUUCUAGUCAAGAUUCCUAUAUUGUGUGGGGCUUAUCAUAUUAAAGGGAGAGGUCAUAUCUCUUGGUCUGUGAGGGAACCGGUGAGUGGCACUGUCCUAGGCAGACAUUAUGCCUUAUGAUGCAUCAUCCCUACACUUUUAUGACUGUGGACCUUGGAUUCCAUAGCCACAUAGCUUUAGGUUGUGCCCCAUAGAUAGAGAGAUGGAUAGUUACAUACAUACUCAUCUUUGUAGAGAGAGAGAGAGAGAGAAGAUCUCGACAGUUUAAGGCAGUGGUCUAUGGAGGUCCCAAGAGGAAUAAUACGGUUCACAGACAGAGAACAAAACACUCAAAGAUAGUGGAGCAAGGAGUACUGAGCUGUUACCGCUUAAUCUAUCAUCUUCUUCUGUGGGAGUACAAUCCUAACUCACUGCUCCAUGGAAUACUUUUAUCUUGUUCUUUCUUAAAAGUAUAAGAGUUGGGGAGUUUUAGAUUUCUUUCUACCUGAAAGGUAGUGAAGUCCAUAAAAGAAAUCUGCACAAGGAAUACCGAGAGCCUUUUUUGCUUCACUCUACUCUUGUAGGGGUUCCAACUUGGUCGGGCUUCAUUAUCAACCUAAAUAGUACCCUAAGGACAUUAUGAACUCAGCUUUCAGCAAUUAAAUUCCAAAUGACUGCUUUUUUCCUUUAAUAUAAACUGUGCCACAGAAUUCUAUGAUCAGAUCAUGUCCUCUCCCAAGGGUUUUGAUGGAGCCCCAAAACUGGUCGUAUGUACCAACUUCAUAAUGGAGAAGCUGACACAUUUAUCUCCUCUCUCUCUCUCUCUCUCUCUCUUAAUUAUCAUUAAUUAAUCAAAUAAAUUAAUAAUAAAUAAAUAGUAAAUUAAUAAAAAAAAUAAAACAAAUAUUGCCCCCUCUCUCACUCUCACUCUCCCUCCCCGGUGGGGUGAGAGUGCACGGAAGAGAAAUCCCCUCGCCAAAACAUCGCCGAUCUUUUUCCGUCUCUUUCCGUUAUAACGCUCCCGACCGCAACUGGAAAACCGGUGUCUUGUCCGGGCCCGGUUCACCUCGCGAGCUACUUGAACCGCUCGUCCCUCCCUCCCGCAAACGAAGAGGGAGAGAGAGUGAGGCGAGUCUGAGAGCAAAGGCGAGUGCUUUAGGGUUUCUUUUCUGCUGCCUGUCCCUUCUAGCACUCUUUCUCUUGUGAGCUCGGACCGACGAGUUGGUCUCCGGUGCGGCGCCGGCGUUGCCGGAUUUGAGGUAGCCGCUCGCCGGGCUGUGGUGGUCGGGGAGUGCUCUGGUCUGGAGCGUCGACCUCCGAGAUUCGGGGUAACGACCGGCUGUGAUAUCUUAGUUUGUUUGCAUUCGGUUGCAAGAUUUGGAAUCCUUUCGGAUUUGUUUUUGCUGUGUCUGAUGUGAGCUUGCGAGGAUCUUUUUGGGGUGGGGGUUUAAUCGAGGCUUGUCUCUGCUCUCUUGUGGUUUCUACCUAAUCCCAGACUCAUGGAAUAUGACAUGAAUGGGGAUGAGUUCUCCAGUUAAAACCAAUCCUUUUCUUGUUUUUGGCAUAUUAGGCAUUGUUCAGCAUUCGUCCUCAUUGACAUGUUUUUGUUUGUCGAUACAUGUAUUUUGGUAGAGUGUUCGAUGGUUGAAAGAGAAUAUUCUUUAUUUGAUGGCGAAUUUGACGGUAUCGUCUUUGGCUUGCUUUUGAUGGAUGGCUUUCCUCUUUAUACUACAGUAGCAAAAAAUUAGCUUUGCUCUUUCUUUUCCCCCUCCUGGUAAAAGUUGCCUCUUUUUGCCAAAGCAACGUAAAGGAAAACGGAUUGUGGUUCUUCUAGGUGCCAUAGGUUCUUGAUCUGCUCAAAACAAUCUUCUUGCGAUAGAACCACCACUAGUGUUCCUUGAAAACUUUCAGAUCUAGCUGUCACUGUGCGUUUGUGAUGAAUUAACUUGCAGAAAAACUGAUAAGAUCUUAGAAACACAUGCUCGGUGAAGGGUAUUAGCAGCUGUAUCAUGUGGUGGUUUACCUGCAUUACACUUUUUUUUUCUCAGUUUCUUGUUGCAGUUGGGUAUCAACACUUCAAAAUCCGUUCAUUUUUCCUGAUCACUGCUUCACCUGAAGUGCUUGAUCAGUCCAUUGUAUCGACAAUUGGGUUUUUUCUCUUACUAGAUUUUCAGGACUAAUAUGAUCUACUUCCUCUUCCAACAAAAUUUAAACAUCUAAAUAUUCUUCGUAUACAGCUUGGUUAUUGUCCACCUGGAUUUACUAUUUUUUUUUUAUGGAUAUGUAUUUUUGUGAGUAAGUUUGUGUUCAGCUUUUGUGAAAGUCACUAAUGAUUUCUGGUGAUCUAUGUCUAAUAGUUGCAGAAAUAGUUGUUGUUUCCGACUGCCAACAUCUUUUUCUGUUUCUUGUGGCACAGAAUAAUUGGAGACACUACAAGUGAAAAUAAAAUGGACUUGUCACUAUUCUCAUAGUUGAGAUUUAGUUUCAGCCAUCUCCUCUGCCCAACUGAAAUUGUCCCAGGUAGAGCUGGAUACCUCUUCGUUAAGUUGCACAGAUGUUUUAGCAUGCUUAUAUGCUUAAAAAAGGAUGUAAGAUUUCUUUGAUAUUUCUCUUUUGUUAGCACAUAAUAGAUUAGAGAGUGAAAGUUGGAAGGUUUGAACAAUUUUCUACAAGCAUAAUAAUACAUAUGCAGAGCAACUUACAUACUUGCAAGUCAGAUACGUAUACAAAUUAAACUUCACAUUGUGUUGAAUAACUUAUCCUUUGUUUAUCUAUCUUUCUCAUCAUUGUAAUCUUUUUUCCAAGCCUUAAGACGUGCUAUGUAGAAGAAAAAUGUUUGUGAUGCAUCUUCUAUGCUUGUGCUGAAUAUUUCUCCAUCUAAAGUUUAUGACUAGUUUCUUUUGUCAGUUUCUAUUUGCAUUAAUCCGAUUGUCUUCAUGCUUAGUACAAAUCUACUAUUUUUUUUAAUUUUUACAUUAAAUGAUUAAGGCUUUUUGCUGAACUUUAUUGAAAUUGCAUCAUAACUUUUUUUCUUCCCCCCCUGUUUAGUAUUUACUCCGACCAUGUUUUUGAUGCAACAUCAUGCUUAAACCUUUUGUAGUUCAUCAAAGGUGCGGGAAUUCUGCAGACAGAUGGUUAAGCAAGUAUCAUAUUUUGCCUGGUCUCUUUGUUUCGACACUUGCAGAUGCAAUUUGAAUGCCUAGUUGCUCAACCUCAAUUUUUAUUGCACUGCAUUAGGUGUAUGGAACUUGUGGAUGGUUCAAAAGAUCAAAUAUGAACUCUAAAACAAGGCAUAAUAAAAGAAAAUAGAGGAGAAACUGUUUGCAACUGUAUUUCAAAUAGAGUCUUCAUCCACAGAUGCAAUGUUUAGCAUAUGGUUGAAAACCUGCAUAUAUUUGAAAUACAGUUGGUUUAGCAUACGGUUGAAAACCUUCAUGGAAUAAGCAGCCUUUUCUUUCCUUUUCUUUAUUUUGUUGGAAGAAAGUAAAGGACUCAAAAAGAAGAGAGACAGAGGGGUUGUCCUCCAUGUAAAAGAAGACGGCACUUGGUUUUUCCUCCGAGAAUUUAUUUUUUCAAUAUUAGCAAGUUAUCUCAACAAUGUGGGUAGUACAUGUCUGUCACAUUAAAUUAACAUCACUAGUGGAUUGAAACUGCAUCAUCAGAGUUACUACAGUAUAUUCAAUUUUUUCAUAUACUGUAGCAUGUUGUAGAAACUUGAUAAAUUAUCAUUAUCUCUGAUACGGAUCAUGAUUUGAUAUGGUUUAGGCCUAACAUAUUCCUGAUAUUUGGAGUUCUAAUCAAGUCAAGUGCUCAUAUCGGAUAAUGGAGAGUGUGACAGAACAGUUCCAAUAUGUAGAUAGUCAUGAAGCAAUUGAGUUUUGCGAUCAGCAUGGAGCAUUUGGUUUUACAAGUUCUUCUGGAGAUGCUUAUUCUUGUUAUCAGAACACCAACUCAUUCCAUGAAGCCUAUGGAGAACAGUUGAGUUACCCAAGUACUUUAGGAGGGCAAGCUCUGGCACCCAAUACUUUGGGAUCUUAUCAUGAACUCAAUUCUCAUAAAAGCAGCAUGAUUGCUCAUGUAGUAGAAACCCCAUUAACUUGUUCUACUGGUGAUUCUAGAGACUUCUACAACUCAUUCCAGAAUACAUCCUUCAUGAGUAGAAAUUCCUCACUUCACCUCACACAACAACAUAAUGCAGCCAUUGUCCAAGCUCAAGUUCAGAUGUCACCUACUACCAAACUGCUAUCAGUUUCUCAUUGUCCAGUAAAUUCAGGUGCAAUGUACUUGAAGACAAAUAGUUGCUCUAACACCAAUGUCAAGCAAGGGCUGUCAUCUGGUAUGAGAAUCACUUUUACUAAAAUUCAACUCUUCCUUUUUUGCUGUAUGAAUAAACUGUAUGAAUCUUGUGCAGAUUCUCCAUCAUCUAGAAAAUUUGUAUUAAAUGAUUUCAUGCAAAGACCAAGAUCUUCCGAGAUUGUCAAAACUUACAUUUAUGGUGCAGAGAAGUUACCUUCGCCGCUGGGUGAUCUAUCUGGUGGCAAACCUUCUGGCCUUUUGUCCUCUUUUGCUUCAGAACACAUAGAUGAUUUUGCCACUAAUCAUCCAGAUUUGAGUCCUGAAAGUUCUUUGUUGUUUCAUUCCAAAGGUGUCCCAGUGACUCGCCAAUGUGAUCAACAAUCCGAGCAUGUUAUUGAUAAUACAACUGCACAAAACAAUGAGAAGGGUGUCAGGUCUAAAUCAUCUGCAGCUAGUUGCAACAUGAUUACCUGGUCAUCUGGUAAGCAAGUUGAGAACUCCAUCUCAGCUGCAGUUAAUUCACUGGUGUUAGAAAAUGAUAGACAGGACAACUCUUCAAUAUCACCUAUGCAAUUACUUUCUGACAAUAACUUGUUUGAUGGCAUAGAGUUCGAUAUGAGGCAAAACAACUUUGGGCAUGACUUGUGGGAUGACGUUACAAUGCCAGUUGGCCGUAACAAUUGUUCGAAUCGAAGUGCUGGUACUUCAAAUUGCAUCUCAAUGAUGGAGAUGGCCUCAAUUUCUGGUACCGAUAAGGGGCUCUUCUCAGAGUCUGGUUUUCAACAAUUACUUGAUGCUAUAAAUGGUGAUCAUGUUCAUAAAGCUCCUGCUCACAGUUCUGGUGCAAAAUAUGUUCAUCCAAUUUCUGGUUCUGACUUGGAGAAUCAAUGUUCUACUAGUUUGUGUGGUCCUUCAGUGAACAGAUAUCAGGUUCCAUCGGUAGUUCUUCCUCCCAUAAAUGGUACAUCUGGUUUGUUGUUGCCAUACUGUAAUUCUGAGGUUAUUCAUGGAUCUCCAAAACAUGAAGUGUCAAACUCCAACAUCUGUUCAUGGAUUGAUGAUAGCUGCAGUAUGAACACUGAGGGUUCCGUUCUGGAUCAGACCAAGAAGCCUGAAGAAGCUGCAAAAGUUGUUAAGAAAAGAGCAAGACCUGGUGAAAGUACACGGCCGAGACCAAAAGAUCGACAACAGAUACAAGAUCGUCUGAAAGAAUUAAGGGAGAUUGUGCCUAAUGGUGCAAAGGUACACUCAGAAUUUGUUCUGUAAUUUACUCAAUUGGCUGCUAUUUGAUCUGCUUUUUUGUAUAUACCUUUCUUCAACUUGACAGUGUAGCAUCGAUGCUUUAUUGGACAAAACAAUCAAACAUAUGCUCUUUUUGCAAAGUGUGACAAAAUAUGCGGACAAACUUAAGCAAGCUGAUGAACCCAAGGUACAAAAUCUGGUAGCUAUAUUCUUAAUAUAGAUAUUCUCAUUCCAAGCAAUAUUGAUACAAAUAUUCUCUUUUUUUUUUCACUCCCUAAUUAUAUCAUUAUGUGAAUGUUGUAGAUAAUCGGUGAGGAGAGUGGUGUUGUCUUAAAAGACAAUUCUGGUGGUGUUGGUGGUGGUGCAACCUGGGCAUACGAAGUUGCAGGGCAAACAAUGGUCUGUCCAAUAAUAGUUGAGGAUCUCACACCCCCUGGCCAGAUGCUAGUCGAGGUAACAUAACAUCCUAUCUAAUUUUUUUCAGACCUACUUCUAAGCAUCUAAAAACUGGACAUAUCAUUUACUGCAGAUGCUGUGCGAAGACCGUGGACUGUUUCUUGAGAUAGCAGAUAUCAUACGUGGAUUCGGCUUGAUAAUCUUGAAGGGAGUAAUGGAAAUUCGUGAGCGUAAAAUUUGGGCAAGAUUCUUGGUCGAGGUAGGUUUUAGUUGAAUUACAAAAGUUCGACAUGCUAUAUAUAUCCCAUGUUCACCAGUUAAACCUGUGGUUUUAUUCCACUGUAGGCAAACAGGGAGGUGACCAGAAUGGAUAUAUUUUUGUCGCUCAUCCAGCUAUUACAACAAAACAGCUGCUUGCGAUCCGGUGAUCUAGCAAAUAAGAUUAUCGAUAAAGGACCACCACUGUUCUCUGGUUACCAUCAAUCUCCUAUUGUCAGUUCCAGCUAGUGUAUCUGAGAGACUGCAAAGAAAGAUCUACCACGUCUAAAGUAUGGUUAUCCUGGAAAGCACUAUACGGAGGCAGGCAAGCAGGCAGGUAUCGACACCAUGGAAGAUUGCAAGGGUUUGCAGCAACACAAGUGCAUCAAUGAAAUGUGGAUCCAGCUAUGGUAUGAUGUGCCCACAGGAUCAUGGGUCUGAUGUAGGAAUUGAGAUAUUAGUUGCUAUUAACCAUGUAAAGUUGUGAACACUCUGACCCUUCAGUUAUUAAUCUAACCUGUUUAGAUGAUGGAAGCUGGUGUUGAACAUCUGAUAUUUUGCUGAAUUUUGAUGCUUUGCAUGGGCUUAUCCCUUUGUUCCUUGAGAAAACUAAGCUGUGAUUUAAGAUCUGUAAUCAUAGAUCAAUUCAACUCUCGGCACACUGCUGUUUGGUGAGCAACAGCUUCCCAAGAAAAAGAACAGAAAUAUGAGAGCAAGCACAACUCACGGUAAAGUUACCGGGCGCUCAAUUAGUGGGCCAGGCGCCCGCCGGGUUCAAAUCGGGUCGAGCGAGCCCGAUCACUGAAUCUGGGCCUAACCUGGUUCACUGGAUGUCGUUCGAUCGAACCAGAUCAACUAAUCUAACGCCCUUCCCCGCUCACGCACGCGACGAGACGACCCCUGGAAACCUAAUCGGCGAACGGCGACUCUUCCUUUCUUCCUCUGCAUCGGCGAACGGCCGCGGCGGCAGCAGCAGCAGCGUCUUCCUCUCCAUUGAGCCGUCUUCCUCCAGCGGGCUCGUCGUCGGUAUAUCUCUCUUUCUCUCUCUCUUCCUCCUCCUUCGCCGUCGCCCACUCUGCCGCAGCGCUCUUCCCAUCCCCCCCGCCGCCAGCGUCCCCUCUUGUUCGCCUCGUGGCAGCCGUUUUCUCCCCUUCCUCCUUGCACCGACAGCCUCCUCCUCCUCCUCCCUGCGCUAGCGGCUUCCUGUGUAUCGUCCUUUCAGCCCCGUUGCAACUGCUUCUUUUAGAAUAUUUUUUAUUAUUGCUUUUUCAUCUUUAUCCUUUUUUAUUCGAAAAUAUUUCAUAAGUUUCUUUUUUCUAUAAACUUAUUAUUUGGUUUAUUAUAAAAAAAAACUGUAAUCAAAUAUCGAUCUAUAUGUUUUAUAUUAUGUUAACAUAAUUCAUUUCUGGAGUCGACAGUGAUCGACUUUAUCAGAUCCGAGACCGAACCGUUUACGGCCCAUAGAACGCGCUCUGUCUCGGGUGAGGCCGUGCAUUCCAGAAAGCUCUCGUCGAAGUCGGAUGAAGAGCGAGCGCGAAGUGGGGGUGUUGCAAUCCUAAUUCGUAGCAGCGUGCAGAAUUUUUUCUUUGAUCGAAGAUGGAUGAGGUGGUCAUAACAGAAUCUAAUCCUUCCAGUUCUGGGUCUGAUACGAGGAUUAUAUGCCGUGUGUGAGUUCUUCCUCCUUCACUUGAAAUUUCAUCAUCUUUUUUGGUCUUGGAUUUGAUCGGCAAGUCAAGGCCUUUCCUUGAUUUCAAAGUAUUGAUUCUUUCGAUUCAAUUUUGUUUUCUUUCUGAUGAGUAGAGCGGCGAACGGUUGUAAGGUAAGAAUUUUUAGUGAGGUGGUUACUGAGGAUUUGAUGGGCCUGUUUAAGUUUUCUUUUAUUUUGAAUGGUUGCCUAUGUUGCUUUAGAUUGGAAAUUUUAUGAAUAUAUGGUCUGUACUCUGCUUGGUUUUUAUGAUUGUAAUGUUAAUCAUUAGUAACAGGGAUUUUGAACCAUAAAAUCGGCCAAUUUCUUUUUCCAAGUUAUCUCUAGGAGCCUGAAGUUAACAUGCUUAUCAUAGUCGUGGUUGAUACCAAUGUUGGUUUUUUUGUAUCAUCUUGCAGUUGCCAGAAGCAAUUUUCUCAGUAUACUUGUCCUCGGUGCAAUUCUCGCUACUGCUCUCUUCAAUGUUACAAGGUGAGAUGACAAAACAGUGUGUAACCCAGUGUGCAAUUUAUUUUCGAUGUAAGUCAGUAGUUUUGUUAGGAACUAUUUUAUGGUACAAGUGUAGUGAUAAUUACUUCGGUAACAUAUUACUCUAGUGAUGGAUUUGAAGGAUUCUUUGAUUUUUCUGAAUCAUGUCCAUCAAGAAUCAUGUCCAUGUGUGAAGUUGAUGUGGGUUGUUUGUUGUGAAAUCAAGAUCGAAUCAAGGAGUUGCUGAAGAUAUGCUGAUUCCAUUAUUUCCAUCUAUUUCUCGAAGAUGCUUCUCUAAAUCAAUCUAUGCCAUUUGCAGUAGUCUCAAACUUGUGUGAGCAUUGUCAGAUGAUCUUUGUAUGCUACUUUUCUUGCUUGUGCUUUUCCAUGCCAUCCUCUCCAUUUUCUUAAUAGUUGUAACUUGGUCUAGGGCUUAAUGUUUAUGCAAGCUUUACGUGUGUGGUAGGUCCAAGCUUCAGACAUGCCUCAAAGAUAAUCUUCAAUGCCACCUAAAAUUUUUAAGUAGGAACAGCCAACUUUGAGUUCACAACUUUCAUUUAGCAAUCAUCUCUUGUCAUCAAUCCUUCAUGACACUAAUGUUGUGCUGCUUAGAUGCUUAAGUUCUGACACCUAAGCUUAACUGAUUUAUGUGAAUGCUAUGAAUGCCUUUUUCCUUCAUAUUAUUGUGACUUAUAUGUAAGGGUUCUUAAAUAUUUUUGAGGUAUGGGUGUCAAGCUUAAGUAGAAAGUAGGUUGGAUGGGAUAAUUGAUGGUAAGGGUGUAUAUGCGAUAACAUAUUUGGCAGCAAUAUUGUCAAAUGAGGGCACGUAGUUGGCUACCUAGGUGUUUAAAUGGGCUUGGAUACCUAACCCAAUGCCCCUUAAUCUGAGUUAAGUGAGCUAAUUUCAGAAUAUUCAUUUCAACAUGUUUGUCCCUUGAAUGAAGGCACAGCGCAGAAUGCUUGGCUGAAACAAGUUUUUAACUUUUUAAUUAUUUUUUGUUCUUUAGUUUCAUAAGGUCACCAACUCUCCAAUCUCUUGUUAGCCUUAGAUUUUAGGUUUUUAGCAUUCACUUCUAUAGGGGCCCAGCAGGAGUGGGAGAUCCUAAAGGCAGCGGCAAAGGAUUGAAUUGAAAACUAGUAGGGAUUUGUAAUUUGGAGUAACACCUAGCAAAGGCUUGAAGUAGACACUUGUAGGGACCUUGAGCCUAUUGCUUUAUAUUAAAUCAUUCAUCGUUUUAAGCUUUUCAUGGUGGUGGUGGUGUGUGAUAUAUUACAUGUUUGGAUUAAGGAAACUAUGAUUGUGUUUACUUAUUUUUAUUUUUAUUGUUAUUGUGUUACCUUGAAAUGACUUUUUAAAGACUGAACUGCCUGAAAUUUAGAAGAUCUGUCUAAAAACUUAGAUGAUUCCUAGGCAUCUAAGGACUUUGCUGCCUUAAGGGCUUUGUUGCCUCCAGAUCACUUUUGACCACCUUGAGAACCAUGCAUGAAACAUGAAAGCACACACAAACGAAACUCUACCUUAUGUAACUGCACAACCACCCUUCAUGUUCCAGAUUCCUGUUGUUCUGUCAAGAGGAAAAAGUGUUCUCUCUAGAUGCAUUCAUCUUAGUGGUACAUGAGUUGUUAAAUCAAUGCCACAAUUGUUUUUUAAGAGUAUGAACUUUCUUUGGUUGAGAUCUAAAGUAUCAAACAUGAUUGUCUCCUCACGACAGAGGCACAAUCUUCGCUGCACAGAAUCUUUCACGCGUGAGAAUGUUAUGGAGGAGUUGAAACAGGUGCAACCAGAUGAGGAAACAAAGAGGAAAAUGUUGGACAUACUCAAGCGGUUCCACUCUGAGGAAGAGAUGAGCUCUGAUGAUGAAGAGGGUACGUGAUUAACUGAUUCACUUCACUUUAAGGGAUCUUAUUAUCGAAUCAUACCAUUGAACCCAAUUCUUCUGGUUUUUUCUUGAAGUUCAUUUUCAUUUUAGGAUUUUUCAAUUUCUCAUGUGUAAUAUUUAUGUGAUAAAAUAGAAAUAUCUUUGCAAAUCAAAUUAAUAAAAUAUUCGGCUCAGAUAGUGGUAUGUUAGAAAAGGAGAAUAAUUUUAUAGAUGAUGGCUGUAUAUUGUUUCUUAGUGGCUUGCUAAUUUAGGUGUUUUAUGGUACUCGAUUCACCUAGGCCCUGAACCAAAACUUGGUAGGCUUAUUAAUCCAAAUGGAGAUCAUACCUGAAAUUUCUGGGCGUUCCCUUUGUAAUUGGAUCUGUACACAUUGUAGUUAUAGAUUAAGGAUCCUUAUAUGAUCUGGUAAGCUUAUUAGAUCUGAAAAGUUUUACACCUGAAAUUUGAUUUUUGGUUUUCAAGUUGUUGGGCUUGGCUUGAUCAGAACCCCAUUAUAUAAUAAGAGGAUAUACUAUAUAUGUUAUUAUGAUUAAAAUUACAUAUAACAAAAUUCUAUGUAAUUAUAGUUAUGAACAUGGCCAUGUGGCUACUUAAAAAAAUCAAAGAUAAAAAUGAUGGCCUUAUCUGAUUUGAUAUACACCAUUAAUAUUUUGUCAUAUUACUCACUGUAAAGGGUGUCAAAUAGGUGUGCAUAGUUUAUUUUUGCAUGUACGAGUAUCCUGCUAACGUGAUUGUAGAACCAGAAAAGAUGUUCUUGGUGAAAAUUUUCCAGACUCAGUAUAUAUGUUGACUAUAAACUUACUACAUUUUCUUUACCUUGAGUGUUCAUGUCCGUGUAUGAUGUGAUGCCUUUGAUCUAGAUAUGCAAAUGUCUGAAAUAAAAUGAAAGGGAAAAAGGAAAGCUAGAGGAGCAGAUGUUCAAGGAAAAUUUGAACUCUGUUAUGUCUUGUACUUGUUUUAAUGCACAUAUAUAGAUACUUAUGCUCAUAUAAGCACCCUACCUUUUCUAACAUAAAUGCUCGUUACUGUACAUUAUUAUACAGAAAGACUAACUGGUGUGCCUGACUAUAAAUGUGGCACCAUAGCAACAAAGACAUUUCAUGUAGCACCUGAAUGCACCAUUUGAGCUGACUGGCAGAAUAAUAACUAAUUCUCAAACAAGAGAAGGAAAAAAGAAGGGUUGCAUCGUUCUUCCUGCAAAUUGUAUGCCUAUGCUGCUUGCAGUUUGAUUAACUUUGAAUCAAGUCAUAGCUGUUUUUUUUUCUUUUUGCAGAAUCCACGCUAUCAGAGGAGAUCAUUCAGAAAGUUUUAUCUGGUAUGUCAUUAUUGCUUCCUCUCAUAGUCGUUCAUAAUGCACAGUCCUCUUGUGUGAGUGAUCUGCUUAUUUUCAAUUUGUAGGUCAAGAAGUCGUACUUGAAGAUUUAUCUCCCAAGGAACUGAAACAAUUUAGGAGAGUUAUAGCAUCCGGAGAGCUUAGCAAACUUAUUGAGCCAUGGACCCCUUGGUGGAGACAGCCUUCUGCAAGAUCUAUAUCGCUUAGCCCUGAGGGAUGCCAGCUUGUUAAGCCAGUUGAGCUGGCAAAUGGUCCUGAAGAUAACAUUGCUGAGAAUCCAGUCGGCCCAGAAAGUCCGCUGCCACCACUAAGGCAGUUGAUACGCGGGGACCCUUCUCCUUUUUUAGCAGUUCAUGUGGUUGAUGUUCUGUACAGUUACUGCUUUACUCUUCGCCUUUACAAUGGGGACUGGCAUUCUGAUCCCUUGGGUGCUGCUACUGUGGCAUUGGGCAUGUCAAAAGUCAUGGGUGAUCUUGGGCGGCCUGAGACUGUGGCGGAGGCACUUGCAGCAUGCUUGGAGGAAACAUGCUCGCCGGUCUAUAGACACACUGGAGGUUUCAGUUUUGGGAUUGGACUUGUUGAUGAUGUUGUUUGUCUCCUUUCUUUGGGGACUAAUGCUCUUGUCUGCUUGCUGUGUGAUCUGCAAAGGCUUAUUCAAGCAGGUGAAAGAAUACUCAAGUCUGAGAAAAUUGGCAAGACAGAAAGAAUAGAUACAAUCAGAAAGCUAAAGUCUGCUGACAGGAAGGUGUAUUUCUUGAUGUGCUGGGUUCACGAACAGCCAGCAGAGGUUUGGUCAACGGUAGCAAAUUUUGUUGAAAUGGAGAAAACUUCUCUUGCACAAUUGGGUCAUGGAAGUAAAAACUUCAAAGAUGAAAGGAAAGGGAAGCAAGGAUCAACAGUUCUCAUUCAGGAGGUUUAGAGCAUCCUCAAUGUGAAGAAGCUUUCAACAAUUUAGUGCUUCAUUAGCUGACUUGCCAUUGCUUUUGCACAAUCAUUUCACCAGUCAAAGGAGGGAGUUCAUAACUAUAAAUUACAUGUUUUAUGCUUGAGAUCGUGCAUUCCUGAUUCACCAGCAACGUGUUCAGGAAGGGUACUUUUUACAAGGAUCCUUAAAAUGAGUGAUCUUUUACAAGGAUCUGUAAACUGAGUAAUCUAUGUCAUUCUCAUGCAGUUGUUUAUCGUGACUGAUAAUUGUCGAUAUUUCCUCUGAAUAUAUAAAAAUUAUGCUGCAACAAAAAAUGUUUCUUUAAGGAACGAAAGCAGGAACAAAAUAGAGGAAGAUUUUAUGCAUCAGUUCUGAAGGCAGAGAGAAACUGCCCAGCUAACACAAUGAUCACAAGGACAUUCUGCCUCAGGUUGGUGCUGAAGCAGGAAUCACCUGAAUUUUAACAGUCAAAACUGUUCAUGGUGAUGUGUUUUCCGUCUGAUACAUACAAGUGCUUAAUUGCUUAGAGCAUAUGUUCAAAUUCACCAAGAUAUGGUUGAAGCUCUCUCCCGCAGAUGCUCCCAUCAAGAUAUGGCAGCCUAGUUACUAUUCUAAAUGAUGUUGACAAUUGAAGUUGAACACAGGAGGUCUUCUUACAUUCUGAAUCUGCUGCCCUUUUCAUUGUAAUGAAACACAGGUGAGAUCUCAUGAAGCUAAUCGAUCUGUGUAUGGCACGAAGGUUUCAAGUUCUAACUAUUAAUGCACGUAUACAAAUCACAGAAUACUGUUCGAAAAAGGUGAGUGGAUCGCAUGAUGAAAACAUGGCACAAAUCGGUUAAUUCUGCUGCAUUGCACUGCCUCAAACCUACUGCCUUUUUCUGGGGUGGACGUAAACCAAUUAGUGGGAUUUGCCUCAUGACCAACAUGGUGAUGACACCAUAAGAUUUCUUGUUUCCAAUAAAAUCCCUUGUGCUAAUUGAAACAGCAACAAACUCUCUUCCUAUUUCUAUCUUACUAACUACUUGCUUUUCUGUUGGAAUAAGUAAUUGGUCUAGAAGUGGGCUCCACUGAGCAUCCUCACAUUUGUUCUCGAGGCCGGUAGGUGGGGCGAGCAACCCACAAACGAGUAGGUGGCAUUCGUGCCAUUGAUGCAAGCAGAUUCGGGUACGGAUACAACCCGAAACCAACCCGUUUUGCAUGCAAGCGGCUGCCGGAUCGAUCUUUUUAAUUGCAUCCGAAGCCACCCGCUAGGAGAAAGGAAGAAAAGGAGACGAAAAGAGAAACCCAGAACAGAGACGGACGAGUCGAGUCGAGUCUCCCCUUUCUUCCUUCCGCCCGAGAAACCCUAACUCCCGGAUAAUAGGAAGAUUGGGAAUCUUUGCGGCUUUGAUCUCGACGAAGAAAGAAGCAGCAGCCAUGGCGGAUGGAUUUGAGGACAAAUUGGCCUACUUCCAGGCCAUCACCGGCCUCGACGAUCCCGACCUCUGCACUGAGAUCCUUUCCGCCCACAAUUGGGAUCUCGAACUCGCCAUAUCCUCCUUCACCUCCCAUGCUCCCCCCUCCUCCUCCGAUCCACCUGCCGUCGCCGCCGCCGCCGCCGCCGCCGCUCCCGCUCCCGCUCCCCCUCCCGGCCUAGCCUGGAAGAUCGUCACCCUCCCAUUCUACGUCGUCUCCGGUGGCGUCCACCUCGUCACUGGCGCCGUGGGCCUUGGCUUCUGGAUCGCCGGCGGCGUCAUGUCCCGGACGCUCGGUCUCCUUGGCCUUGCCGCCGCGCCCCGCGGCCAGGAGGGCGACCGCCUGAUUCCCCUCUCGGCCUCUGCGGCUGAGGCUGCAGACUUCGUUGCCGCCUUCGAGAGGGACUACGGAGGUGCGGCAGCCGACAGCAAGCCCCACUUUGUACCGGAGGGGUUCAUGGACGCCCUCCAGCGGUCCCAGCGGGAGUAUAAGCUCAUGUUCGUGUACCUGCACUCACCAGAACAUCCAGACGUGCCGGCCUUCUGCGAGGGAUGCCUGUGCUCGCCUGUCGUUGCUGCUUUUGUGAAUGAGAACUUUGUGGCUUGGGGCGGGAGCAUAAGGAGGGAGGAGGGUUUCAAGAUGAGCAACAGCCUCAAGGCAUCGAGGUUCCCCUUCUGUGCCAUUGUCAUGCCCUCCACCAACCAGAGGAUUGUUCUACUUCAGCAGGUGCACCAGUUGUUAUUGUUCUUCGUUUUUUUACUUGCUAUGUAAAUUUAUGCAUUUGCUUCUGUUUAUCUCAAACUUGAUAGUAUAGAUUGGGAGAAUAAUUUCCCCUGAAAUUACGAACGACCACGGAUUGUUGUCGUUGUAAGAGAAAAUGACACUUUUUUUAAUCGCAGUCUGAACGUAGGCCUUCUUUGAGAAUGCUUCACAUUAAACCAUAUGACAGAUAGUUUGAAGUGUAUAUUUGUGGCUUAUGCUCAAGAUCGCUUUCUCACACUUUCUGUUCUAGAAGACUAAUAUAUUCUGACACAUUUUAAUUCUAUGAAUGUCAACACAUUUCAAUUCUAUGAAUGUCAAUAAUUGACAACAACGUUAAUGACAAGCCACAAUAAAUGUCAAUAAUUGAUGUUAAAUUACUUAUGUUGGGCCCAUUCUCUUUCAAGCACAAAAGGUAGUUGACUUGUUCUUUAUCUUAUGCUUGUUGGUGCUCGCUAGACCGAUGAUGUUAAAAGAUAGCAUGGUUCAUAGUUGACUUUUUCUGUUUCAAUAUUUAAGCAUUAUGUUUACAUGGAAUAAAAUGCAAUUUUUACUUAUUUUCUUGUAUACAUUUGAGUGAUGCCACAAUUUUUUCAAUGUCUUUCCAGUUGUUGCCUCUUAUACUACACUUUGCAGAUUGAGGGACCAAAGUCUCCUGAAGAAAUGCUUACUAUUCUUCAACGUGUGAUAGAAGAGUGUGCUCCUUCAUUAGUUGCAGCAAGACUUGAUGCAGAAGAGCGACGAAACAAUCAACAGUUACGAGAGGAGCAAGAUGCUGCAUUUAGAGCAGCACUUGAAGCGGAUCAAGUAUGUUGUGUCUUUGGUCCAAUGUCUGAUUCUAUGAAUCUGGGGAUAUCAUAAGCAAUGCUGUUUUGCCACAUAUAUCUUUGUAAAUCUUGCUUGCAUCUAAACACUAUAAAUCUUUUAUGAAACCAGGCUAGAGAGCGUCAGAGGAUUGAAGAAGAGGAGAGGUUGAAGAGAGAAGCUGAAGAGGCUGAAAGGAAGCGUAAAGAGGAAGAGGAGGCCUUGGAAAGAGCAGCUCGUGAAGCUGCUGAUAAAGAAGCUGCUCUUGCUAGAAGGCGGCAAGAGAAAGCAAUGUCACUUGGUGUUGAGCCUGAUAAAGGACCGGAUGUCACCCAAGUAAGUAUUGUGUAGCUAUUUAGUGCCUGGAUUUAUGUGUUAAAUUUUUUUUUUUUUGCCGACUUGAUUAUUGGUACAUUCAUAUGUCAUAAAGAUGGUACAAUUAAUCAAUGUCUAGAAUAAACUAUUGCAAGAUGCCUUUUUCAAAUUGUUACUAGAACCUGUUAAACACAAUACUUUUGACAUUUUUUAUAUAAUAGUGUGCUGCAAGGUAUUAGAGAGAGAAUUUUCUUACUGUGUAUGUUGAGCUUGUUUUACUUUUAAGCGAUUAUUAUAUUAGAAACAAAAUCUAUUUGUUCUCACCUUACAACAUGUUUCUCGUUGAUGCGAGCACUAUUACAAUGGAUACAAGAGCAAGUAGCAUGUGACUUGAAAUCCCAGUGCUGCUCAUAUAAUGUUUUGGUCAAACAGGACUGGUGAUCGGAGAAACUAAAAGCAAACAAAAGAAAGAGAAAAUUUAAAUUUAUGCUAAUAUUAUGAUUCUUGCCUAAUCCAUCAUAAAAGUAUUUUGCUUGGUUAUUGUCAUGUAUCUUUUAGGAAUUUUACCAAUAUAGUUGUCCAGAAGAUCUCAAAGGAAAGAAAGCAGAAAAGGAAUAAAACAAAUGAUUACUUAUUGGAUAAUUAUCCUUUCUGUUUACUGGACUUUAGAAACCUGUAAAAGGUGAUGCUAAAUGUAGUGGAUUUGUCUGCCAGCAGUUGGUAUACAUAUAUAUUUUCAAUAGGUUGGUAUCACUUUAUGAGGUUCUUAUCCAGUAGUUUUCUAAUGAAAUUCAUAAUGUCCAAGUAAAAGCAUGAUGUUUCAAUCGAUGCUAGUAUGCAGUUCCCAGGCAUCUGAAAAGUUGGUUAUUUGUUUCCAGCUAGAUAUAGGAGCCUUCAUUUUGCUUUUUUAUGAAUUCAUUGCUGAUGAAGAUUGGUCAGUGUAGAACAUUUUAUGUUUUUUUUAGUUAUUUGAGCUUUUUUGAGAAUAUUGUUAAUUAUAACUAAUUUAAACUGGUCUAACCUUGAUGGGAGUAUACACUACUGACUUUUUUGAAAAGGAAAUUUCUUGAGCAUAAUUGAAAUUUAUGUUGAACAUAUAUGAAAUAGUUUGAGAAAUUUGGUGAGUUUCUGGAACAUAAAUAGACCUAUCUUGUAAAAGGAAAGGUUAUGAGAACAUCUACAUAUUAGCUCUAAUAUAGCUGUCACUAUCCUAUGCAUUGAAAUGGAACAUAAUGAUGGUAAUCAUCUAGUGGAGUCAGAUAUUAGGAAUUGUUGGAAGCUAGUAGGUCGUAUGGAGUAUCACUAGAUGUGAAGAAGGCCAGUAUUACAGAACAGAUAGGACUGAAACUUCCUGGGUCAAUCAAGUCAAGGUUCAACAGUUUAUAGAAGAGGCUUAAUAUGCACGAUGGACCAUUAAUAAGCCCAAACUCAGUGUCAAUCAUCCAUACAAACUGUUCAUACAGUCUACCUGUUUUUUCAAUGGUGUUUCGGUGGUUUUCAGCAGUUUCCUAUGCCUGUCUAUUGGAAAAAUAAUCAUGUAAAUACCUUGACUAGUCUACCAAACUCCUUUGAGUCAUUUGGUAACAUUGCUUGUUUCCUACUAUUUCUUGUUUAGUACAACAAAAAAAUCUCUGCCAGAAAUAAAUUGAGUAGAUCUUUGUAAUUAUUUUUUGUUGUUUGAUUAUCUUGAAAGAAAUGUACAUAUCCAGUUAAUGUGCAUAUUAACCUUGGAUAUAAUGUAGUUAUUGUUCCAAAUGUGUGGACUGCAUCAGCCACUUUGGUUAAUAGCAACUGCAUAAUGGGUUGGGAUACUCGAUAAGGAGGGGAUAGGAGAAGAAUCAUUAGAUGGGACAUGCAGAAAGUAAGGGCACAUUUGAGGGUCUUGUACAGUUCUGCAAUCAAGCAUGAGUAUUUGGAAGUUAAAAAAAUCAGAAGGUUUGUACAUAGCCAUUUUGGUGAAGAGAAGAACUCAUUAGGUCAGAGCGUUGGAAAUAAUAAUAGGUAAGAGUAGCGAUCAAUAUUAUAGUAAGCAGGCUAACUAGGAGCAGGGAAGAGCACUACUGAAAGGACUCAAGAUGCUUUUGAGUGUGCUGGUUUUGAGCAACAAUAUCUUGAUGCAGCCCAAUCAACUGUCUUAAUAAGUCUAUUCUAGAGUUAAUACAAGUCUUAAUUUCUUUGAGUUUUUGAAUCAAGUUAUAUGUUUAUUUUAGUUGAUUUUUUAUCUUAAAAAAGAUCUUUGUCAUAUUCUAAUUGGUGGUCUUACUAGUGUUAAUCAUGAGUCUUAUUUGUUAGGCUUUAGAUAGGACUUGGAGUCUACUAUAAGAUAGGAUUUAGUUUAUCUUUCUUUUUAAGUUGUCCUAGGUCUCAGGAGACUGCAAUAAAUAGUGAAUUAAGUUGUGUUUUUGAAAUUUGUUAUUUAAAAAUUUAUUGUGUUUGCUUGUUGGCAACUGAUCUUCCUCUUAUCUUUUAUUUUCACAUUCUUCUUCUAUACUCCUAUUCUUUCCCUCUUUUCCACCAUCAGAUUUGUGCUGCACCAGAUCUUUGUGCCAAAAUCUUGUUAUGAUAUGCUUCAAAGUGAUAUCUGUUACUACAACAUCAUAAUUCCCUUCCUGUCCAUCUCCAGUUUUUGAUAUGUAUGUCUAUGCAAAACAAGUUAUGCUCGUUAAAAAUCUAUAUAAUACUUCACAUACAUAUUGAUUUUUUUUAAAAAAAUUAAUGAAAUAGUUGUCUUGCAUCUCUUGCUCCUCUAAGGGAGGUGCCGCGAUGACAUGGUAAGGUCGAAUUUUUUCGUGUCAUGGAAACAACCACUCAGUUUGUAAGGGGUAAUGUAGCAAAUAUUGACCUCAGAUCUUGCAUUCUUGAAAACCUUAUGCACCACAAUGUCCCUUUUUUUUCUUGCCCUCUGUACUAAGUUUUUUUCUAUGUUUCCAUAAAGGCACUCAUUUGUAACUAUCAAAUUAUCAUAAAACAGUUACCUCUUUAUUUUCUUUUUCUUAGCAAUUUCUUAUGGUGUUUGAAAGAGAUUAUGUAACCGAAGUUAGUGGUUUUUUAUCCUCCUUAACAUUUCUUGGAGAAUUGCAGAGAGGUUGGUAAGAGCAUUGCUUUUACCUCUCCACUUCCUUGCCUUGAGGGCUGCAUGCUGAGUGAAGUUUGAAUUAGUUGGUAAUUUAAAUUACUGAAGUAGUUGGAUAAAAUAAUGACACAAUCCAUCAAUGUUACUACUUAAACAUGUACAAAAUGUUUGUCUUUUAAAUGUUAUUAGAUGAAUAAAUAAGUAGUUAGUAGAAAUUUUAAGGUUGAUUUGAAGACUUUAUUUAGUCAUUCUUUACUGGGUCUUGAGUUUCAUCUAUCACUGGGAUUGAUUGAUCCCAAUUCAAGCACCAUCUGAGUUUAGGUUUUUUUGACCGAAUUUGCUGAAUAUGGUCAAUUGAAACAUUGGCUGAAACCUUGAUUAUGUUGAUACUUUCCAUUGAAGUUUCUAUUUCAAUCUCUUCCUAAGACCAUGAAUUCAACCAACCUGAAUAGAUCUAAACUGCUAAAACCUGACCAGAAAUGUGAGACCGUUUAAACCACCAAAAUCAAAUUACUUUCUGGGUUGUGAAAACCAAAACCAAAAAUUUAUGUGAUCAAAUUAUGAUUGAUCAUGUGAUGUUUGGAAAAGUUACUUGUCUAAUUUAUUUGAAACCUGUACAGGCAAGUGCGGUACCUGCCGUACUGUCCCAUGCCCAUCCUGAUAGAUGCCCGGUACAUGCUGGCAUAUUCAGAGAAAUUGAUGUGUGUCAAAAGUAAUAGUUUAUUCUAAGCUAUGACAUAUGAUACAUGAUAUNNNNNNNNNNNNNNNNNNNNAUAUAUAUAUAUAUAUAUAUAUAUAUAUAUAUAUAUAUAUAUAUAUAUAUAUUCAUGCUGUCAGAUUAUGCCAUACUACAUAGGGUGCCUUGCUUGGAACAUUUUCUGUCUCCUAUUUCUUAGUUUGUAUUGAACCUUCAGGUUUUGGUAAAUAGUUUGUUUAGAACUUUCAGUCCAACUAUAAUUCAUUUAGAAUAUCGAGUUCUAGAUUAAAUGCUGCUGUUAAAUGCUGAUAUGUUUGGUUUUCUGCAUGCACCUCUGUAAGCAGUACUUGAACUGCCCAUAUCAAAUCAAUUUUGACAAUAAAUCUGAUGCGGAAGUUGCAUUUGUUAUUAGGUCCUUGUUCGAUUCCCGACCGGAGAGCGCAAGGAAAGGAGGUUCAAUAGUUCGGCUACAAUUAGCUCUUUAUAUGACUAUGUUGAUUCGUUAGAGUGCUUGAAAGCUGAAAACUACACACUGGUCUCGAAUUUUCCCCGCGUUUCCUAUGGUCCAGAAAAGCAUUCAUUGACACUCAAGGAAGCAGGUUUGCAUCCACAGGCAAGUCUUUUUGUUGAGAUCCACUCAUGAGAGUUUAAGCUAUCGAGAAGAUGAGAUCCUUAUCAUCAAGCCUUGGAACUCUGAUAUGGCCUGUAGAUACAUCUUUUCCUUCUAAACAAAGGAAAGGGAAACUCCAUCUUUAUGAACGAUCACUCAAAAUGUAUUGUAGGUCAUAUUCCUCGCUGUUAAAUAUGAUCCUUAACGAUGAAUUAGUUUCUAUAUUUUUCCGUCAGUAACAAUAAAUUUUGGUAUCAGGGCCGUGUGUGUUUCAUUUCAAUCAGCUUUUCUGCUCUAUUGUAAAAUUAACAGCCCUUUUAUAUUUUUUUGAUGCAUGGGUAAUCUCUAUCGUAAAUUUAACAUCCCUUCUCUAUGGAGAUUUUAAUUGUUGCUUGGGCAACCAAUCGAAGAUGCAAUUCCACUUCACUAAAUAUGGUCACGCUUACUUUUAGAUCCGUGUUGUCUCUGCUGAGACACCGAUCAUUAACGUAUCUCAACCGUUCAUAUGGAUCCGAAUCCGAAUGCGCCAUGCGUUUAUGUGGCCACACACCAAAAAAAAAAAAUGGAGCUCAUGUCACGUGAUACGCGAUCAGCCGACCCUUUUCUAGAAACUUCACUUGCCGAUCUUCUCAAUUGCCUCUUCAGACGAGGGUUGUUGACGGUUCCGAGAUCGUCUGCCAUUUUAUGGUUUCUUGUUUCGUUUCUUGGCUUGGAUGAUGGCAGGGAUCGACGCCGACGACGAGCGCCGAUCUCGAGGUAUCCAACCCUCACUGGGCUUCUUGCUUUCGCAUCGAAGCGAUUGCCUUGGACUCUGACCCUAACUAUCCGUUCUCUUCCCUCUCAGUCUUUGUCGCAUUCUUUUGUCAAGAGUUCUUGAGGAUUUUGAGAUUCGUUCUGUUUAUUUGUUUUCUUUGGUCGGAUCAUUCUCAUGGUAUUAACCCUUCGUCAUCGAGUUCUUCUUCACGUGAGCGGUUUCUUUGUUUGAUUUGUUGGCUUCGAUGAUCGCAGCGACCGAAGCCAACAUAUUUAGCAGUGCUGAUGUCUCUGCUGCCUGCUUCUUUAUCGAAGCGAUCGCUUGGAAUCCGGCCCUAACUAUACUAAUUCUGCCCGCUAAAUCUUUAUGCCUUGUUUGUCUUGAGUUCUUGAGGCUUUCGAGAUCUGUUAUUGUAUGUUUGUUUGUUUUCUUUGAUCGGAUCCUUCUCAGGGUAUUAACCCUUCACGUAAGUGGUUAAUUUGUUUGAUUUCUUGGCUUGGUUGAUUCUCUCUGCUGCCUGACUCUGGCCCUAGCUCUCCCAUAUCUUCCCUCUCGAUCUUUAUCGCGUUCCUUCUUGAGGGUUUUGAGAUAUGUUCUUGUGUGUUUGUUUAUUUUCUUUGAUCGGGUCAUUUUCAUGGUAUCAACCCUUCGUCACCGCCUACUACUUGACGUAAGCGGUUGUUUGGUAGCCCUUUGUUUUCCAAUCUCUUCUUGAUUCUUAUCUUGCUAGGCCUUUAUAAUGUACAGAGAUUCGUUCGUCCAUGGUUGUGUUUGUUUAUAGGAUUAUGUGCCGUCCGAGGGAUUAUUGCGCGCAAUCUGGUUUUGAAUCUAACAUAUAAUGCUUUCUUCUAUGAAUUUGCGAUGAGCUAAGGACGGUCUUUUCUGUUGAGCCUGUUUGACGUAUAAUAUUUGUAGUUUAUGUUGUUGAGGUAGUAUUUUGAUUAUUGUUUUGUUGUCUUCAUUUUGCCUGUGAGAUCUUUCCAUUUUAAAUAGAUGUUAUAUAAAAUUGAAUAUCUGUGAUAAUCCUUCAAUUAAAUAUACGGAGAUAUAUUUAACGGGCACGUGAUAUUUGUGAAAUUGGGAGGCGUACAUCGGAAUUUGGUGGAUCUUUGACUUCUUCUGUAACCUUCUUGAGUGCGUGUUUUCGUUGAUUCAUUUUUUAAUUUGGUUGAGUGGCCCGUGACGAGUAUUUUUUGUGGGCGAAUCGAGGUUUCUUGUUCUUUUCGUGGGAUCGGAUGAUCUUGUCAUAUCGAAUUUUCUUGCUUGGGUUGAUUAGGGUCCGAUGGUCCCCUUCUCUUUGCCUUUCCAUUUUUUUGGGUAAACGAAGUGUAUAAAUUCCUUAUUGGCUUUACGUUUCCUUGUUCUUGAGUUAGGUUGUUCUCCAAGUUAAGCUUUGAUCUGUAAUAUAGUGAUAAUUCUAUAUGCUCUUUUGCUCUUCCUCGUGCAGGGUUAAUUUAGGGAGGAUCAUAGCCCUGAUCCAUCGCUGAAUUUUUGCUGAAAUCAUGAAAAAUUAAUUACUAAUAAAUGGAACAGCCUAACACGUGACGUUCUCUCACAUCUUCCAAUCGAUGUAAGUUUCUCGUGCUUUAUUGUAUGUUAAUUGUGUGGCAAUCGUUGAGUCCCUGUCAGAAGGAUACAUCCCCCUUUCCCUCGAACGCAAUUGUCAGAAAGAUUAGUGUUGGGCUGUUCCAUGCAUGCAUUUGAAAUUUGGCUUUCAGAUGCAUGCAUUCAAUUCUAACACUCAAAAGAAGAGACUAUGAUUAAUCAUACCGAUUGUAAACCAAAAAAAAGGAAAUACUCUGAUUAUUGCGAAGAAUUUGUAUUUAUUCGAAAUUAUUUUAAGAGGAGAUGUUAGUGUAUUGUUGGAAUAAGCUAACACUAUUCAUAGACAUGGAAUUGAUUCAAGCAUGAGAUUCUAUUUACUGUUUUGGUAUCAGUUUCAAUGAUUGAUUGACCGGUACUAUUUUGUAAUACUGUAGAAGACAAAAAUGCAUCAAUGAAAAAUAUAAAUGUGAAAACUAGCAGGAAAGAAGAACAGUUGGGGCAUUACUGUGAUUUUGUGGGUAAUUAACGAAAAAAGCAAUCUUGUUUUGAUGCUGUCAUAGUUGAUUUAUUGACUAUUUGUUUCAGUAAUCAUCUGAUUUAAUGUGUCAUGGAUGCUUGGGGCAUUACUGUGAUUUUGUGGGUAACAUGCAUGAUGGCCUUCUGUGGAGCUCUUUCUGGUAUUGGCAAGAUUAUUCCCCCAAAAACAACGCUAUAUCGAAUCAAGGUCGGAGUCUCUUAAGAGCUCUUUCUGCCAAAACCCAUUGUGGGGAAUUGGAAAGGCAUACCAGAGAGCAUGAGAAUUGGCAUCUAUCAGUGCCAAAGGCCUUUGGUUUCGGGGGAUUAUUAUGCCAUGUUACUGGAGCUGGUGGUUCUCACUGAUGCUUUUCAGUUAAGAAUAUGAGGGUCCGUGAAAAGGAUAUGCAUGUGAUGCACAUGUGGAGUGGAAUCAUUUGUAAAGCAAGAAAUGACUAAGAGCAAUUCAUAUCUUAUCAAUGUUACUAUGUGAUGCAAAUAGUCGUUGAUUUUUGGCCCACAAAUCAUCUCUUGUGUCGACCAAAAGAAAAAUAACUCAUAUCUUUACGUCACGUAGAGAUGCAUGCAUGCAUUUGAAAUUUGGCUUUCAGAUGCAUACAUUCAAUUCUAACACUCAUUUGGCUUUCAGAUGCAUUCAAUUCUAACACUCAAAAGAAGAGACUAUGAUUAAUCAUACCAAUUGUAAACCAAAAAAAAGGAAAUACUCUGAUUAUUGCGAAGAAUUUGUAUUUAUUCGAAAUUAUUUUAAGAGGAGAUGUUAGUGUAUUGUUGGAAUAAGCUAACACUAAUAAUCUUCAUUAACGAAUCAAAAGGGAAGCUUUCCGUAAGUACGUACUACUACUCAACCAUGCAUGCAUGCAUAAGGCCGAUUGAUACCAUGCAAUAUACUAAUCGUGUGACUUGAGAGAAAAAAAGGGGAGGGAUUAAAUAACAUGGUUUAUGUCUCCUCUCAGAUGGCCUCAUCGACGCCAAUGAUCAAAGUAAUAAUGCAUCUCAAUAUCACGGUCGAUUUCUCCAUUAUUGACUGCACCAACACUCAAACAUUAUGAAUCUUAUCUAUACCUCUCUCUUACAACUCAUGCUUUAUUGUAUAUACACAACUUAAUGUGUCUCAGACCCAAUUUCCCAGUCAAGCUUCUCUAUUUCUCUAAAGAAAGUACUCAUCUCAGAAUCAAUAGGAUGGGGCGGACAAAUCACAAGAUGAAAAGGAGUUCCCAGUCAAGCUUCUCGACUGCACAUUAUUUUGUCAUGAAACCAUGGAAAGGGACAGGAGAAACGUGCAUGUAACAACAUCUGAGAGGAGCACAAAAUAAUCACAUCAAAGUGGAGGGAACGGGCGCCACCCAGCCCGUUGACCCAUGAAACCAAGCUGGUUUUGAAGGCAAUCAUUGAAGAACUGAGUCGAACGAGGAGUAGGAACUCGAUGUUCCUCCCAUCAAAUGUAUGGAAGUGGAACGUCAGUGGUGUGGUUGUUGACUAGAACGAGAAAGAGGAGAAGCUUAAAAGAGAUAGUUAAGAGCGUUUCUUUUAAUUAUGCAUUUAGCUAGAUCCAAACAGAAGAGCGGAUCAGUUCAUGUCUGCUGGGCCUGUCGAUCUCGAUCCGUAAUCAUCGAAUGAAAUGAUCCGACCCGUUUAAUUUGACUGGCGGAAUUAUGGGUCGAGUAUACAGACCCGCUAGCAAGUCGGGUCGGAUCUAAACACAACUUUAAACGUUUUAGGGGGGCCGAGGCAGUGAAUAGGGUUUCUGUGAAAUAUUUAGCUUGUUUGGGGAUCUAAACACAACUUUUAACGAUUAGUUGGUCUUCAUACUUGUGUCAUUAUCCUAAAUUAGGUUUGCUGUGAAAUAUUUAGCUUGUUUGGGGAAACAAUCAAAGAUCAUCAUGCGAGGCUGUUUCUCGUUUGAAUUGCGUGUGCUUGGUUUGAUAUGUUUUUGUGGUGUAUGGUGACUUGUUAUUUUGUUUCUUUUCAUGUAGAUAUCUGUUUAUAAUUCGUUUGCAUCCUCUUUUUUUUCAGAUCUGAAAGUGAAAUCACUUGGUCCUUGGAUGUUUCUGCUUCUGUUUCUUGUUGUUCCGAACUUGGCUCAGUCCCAGAUACUCUUCCAAGUAGAGAUAAACAGAUCCAUUUCUUUCCUUCGUCCUUCAUCGCGUUUAUACUAAGAGAAACGAAUACGUUGCAGGGCUUCAACUGGGAGUCGUGGAGGCAGCAAGGCGGCUGGUAUAACUUCUUGAAAGACAAAGUCUCUGAUGUAGCCAACGCUGGAGUCACCCACGUCUGGCUGCCUCCGCCCUCGCACUCUGUCGGCGUUCAAGGUCGUUCCGUGAUUCGUAUUUGUCGUCGUGAUCACUCUCACAUGUUGACCGAGUCGGCCUUGGUCUAAACUAUUCUGUGACACUUCUCCUCUCAGGUUACAUGCCGGGCCGGCUCUACGACUUGGGUGCUUCCAAGUAUGGGAAUCAGGAUGAGUUGAAGGCGCUGAUCGGCGCUUUCCACGACAAGGGAGUCAAAUGCGUGGCCGACAUCGUCAUCAACCAUCGUUGCGCAGACAAGCAAGACGGGAGAGGCAUAUGGUGCAUCUUCGAAGGCGGAACCGAUGAUGCCCGCCUCGACUGGGGUCCACACCUGAUCUGUAGGGACGACACACAGUACUCCGAUGGCACCGGCAACCUCGACACCGGCGAGGGCUUCGCGGCGGCUCCCGACAUCGACCACCUCAACACGCAGGUCCAGCGUGAGCUCACGGACUGGCUGAGAUCGGCUUCGAUGGGUGGAGGCUCGACUUUGCCAAGGGUUACUCAAGCAUCGCCAAGAUCUACGUCGAACAGAUGCAGCCAAACUUCGUGGUGGCUGAGAUCUGGAGUUCAUUAGCUUACGGAAACGAUGGGAAGCCAGCAUACGAUCAGAACGGCAACCGCCAAGGGCUGGUUAAUUGGGUUCAGCAGGUCGGAGGCCCAGCGACGACCUUCGAUUUCACCACAAAGGGAAUACUACAAGCUGCCGUGGAAGGUGAACUGUGGAGAAUGCGUGAUCCCCAGGGGAAGGCGCCCGGCAUGAUGGGGUGGUGGCCGGAGAAGGCUGUCACCUUCGUCGACAACCACGAUACCGGUUCGACGCAAAGGUUGUGGCCUUUUCCUUCUGAUAAGGUCAUGCAAGGCUACGCUUAUAUACUCACGCAUCCGGGAGUCCUUUCCAUCGUAAGUAUGCUUCUGCCUAACAUUCGAUUCAAAUAGUUUCACAGCCUGACGAUUAUAUGUUCGUGCGUGCAGUUCUACGACCACAUGUUCGACUGGGGAUUGAAGGAGAAGAUAACUCGGUUGGCUGAAACCAGAACACGAAAUGGAAUUCAUUCGGGUAGCGCUCUCAACAUUCUGGCCGCUGAUGCUGACCUCUACAUGGCAAUGAUCGAUGGGAAGAUAUUGACAAAGCUAGGCUCGAGAUACGAUGUGGGGAAUCUCGUUCCUUCCAACUUCCACGUUGUUGCCUCUGGCAAUGACUACUGCGUGUGGGAGAAGAGAUGAAGACGAUGAUGAUGAAUCAUGGAAGAGACUUUUCGCUUCUAUUUCGUUAACGUUUUUCAUCUAUGUUGUAAGAAAAAAAUAUCGUUUCUCAUCUUUGUAAAUAUAUUUUAGUGUGAAAUCUUGGGUGCUGUUGUUAGCUUUAGAAAAAAGAUGGUUUCAUUGUGAUAUUAAAUGGAAUCAUGUUUACAUGCAAUCCAUCUAUUUCUUUGGAGCACCAUAGAUAGUUUUUUUCGCUAUGAAAUGCUUAUAGACUUGGUAGUAACAUAUGUGACAUCAGAACCCUUUUUUUUCUACAAUAACAAUAUGUUUAUAGAGAAAUUAAAAUCAUGAGCUAUAUUAUAAAAUUUUGGUAAAGAGUUAUCGAAAAUAUGAUAAGACUUAAAAUAAAUAUCUCUAAAAAUCAAUUUGAUUUUAUGCUCGAAAGAUCAAACAUAAAAAUUAUUUAUUUAUUAAAACAAUUAAUGAAAAAGUAUAGAGAGAAAAAAAAAAAUUGCAUAUGGGCUUUAUCAUGGUUCGUCUUACUAGUCUGUAUCGAUGUAUCGAUUAGUUAUCAGUACAAUACAUAUCGAGCCAUACCAACUUGUGCCGAGUGUACCAACACAUGGUACAUAGGGAAAUGCCGAUAUACUACCUGUAUCGAUCCCUUGUCAUACCGGUAUGUACUACUCGUAUCGAAUGAUAUGCUACGGUACGAUGAACAUUGGGCUUUAUUGACUUAUAGAAAGCCUGUGAUAGGGUUCUUAGAGAUUUAUUGUGGUGAGUUUUAAAAAAGAAAGGUAUAUUCACUAAUUAUAUUGAUAUUAUUAAAGAUAUAUAUAUAAUAAUAUAACUAUUGGUAUUAGAACUAUAGAAAGUGUGUCUAGUGAAUUUAUUAUUAAUAUAGGAUUACAUUAAGGAUUCUCGUUAAGUUCGUAUCUUUUCACAUUGAUAAUGGAUAAACUUACUAGCCAUUUACAUAAUAAACCUCUCCAGUAAAUGUUAUUUACUGAUGAUAUUAUCCUAGUUGAUGAGAGCCUAAGUGAAAUUGAUUAUAAACUUGAACUACGAAGAUAUGGAGAGAUCGAUGAAGACAUUAUUCAUUGAAUAACAACAUGAUGGUUAAAACGACAAGGGGCGUUAAGAGUAUUGUGUGAUCAUCGAAUACCUUUGAGAUUAAAAGAAAAAUUUUAUAAAGUAGUUGUGAAACCAACAAUACUUUAUGAAUCUAAAUGCUGGGUAGUUAAGAAACAACAUAUAUAAAAAGUUUGUGUUGCCGAGGUGAGAAUAUUGAAAUGAAUGUGUGGAGUUACUAUGAAAGAUUAGAAAAGAAAUAUUUUUAUUCGUGAACAAUUAGGUAACGCCUCGAUUGAGAAUAAGAUGAGAGAAAAUCGUUUAAGAUGAUAUGAACAUGUGCUUAGGAGACCUCUAGAUGUAGUAGUUAGAAAAGGUGAAAUGAUUAAUGUUAGUGAUACGAGGAAAGAUAGACGAAUAUCUAAAACGAUUUUACUGAAAAUUAUAAAUAAAGAUUUAAAUAUCUUAAAAUUAACUAAAUAUAUGAUUUUUACAAAUCCCAAUGAUGAUAAAAGAUCUAUGUAGCCGACCUCAAAUAGUUGGGAUUUACGGCUUUGUUGUUGUAAUAACAAUCUGCAUUUUGAUGAAUGAUAAAUGCUCACAAAUAAACAUGUUAGAUAACUAACAAUUGUUGUUACAUGUGUUGUACAAAAUAUAUUAUUGAUAUAUAUACAGUUAGAUCACGUUGUAGCCAUUAGAGUAUCAGGAAGCAUAUAUAUAUAUAAAAAGAGAUGUGUAAACAAUUGAUAUGUUUUCUUGUACUUGCAAAAACAGAUGUUUGUUUUUGUGUUUGCAUUUUUUUAUUCUGAUAUCCUUUUAUUGUUGUAUUUUGCUUAAUGAUUUCUUUUGUUUCAUGUGCUUCUAGCGGGGAGUUGCAUAGAAAGUUUAUGGUGAAGAAGAUUAGAGGAUUGCCCUAGAGGUAGUAUUCUACAAUAUUUAUCUUUAUAUUUAAUUUACAUUGGAUAUGAAUUUUCAUUUUUGGUAAAAUACACAUUCCAUCAGCUUGGGCUCUUCUUAUUAGAUUGAGUUAGACAUUAUAUCAAAUGUAGUUUUAACAACUACAGUUAGAUAUUAUAAUAGUAUUGUGUCCGACUGUAACUACACAGAUUAAUUCCUUCUUGCACGAGUCGCUAUUAUGAGGUUGAAUUUUCUCUAUGCUAAUUAGUCUAGUAUUGAUAUCAAAGGAUGUGUUUGCUUACAGUAAAUUAUAUUUUUGAAACACAUGCUUCACCAUUUUUUUAAUCUUGUGUAGGGUUUGGUGUACAAAGAAAACAAAAGUUAGUUUUCGGAUUUUUUUUAAGCUUCUCAUGUAGUAAGCCUUGUGGUCAUCACCAUUAUUGGCCUUUACAUUGUUGUUGUCAUCACUAUAUUACUACAAUGAUAAAUGCUACCAUUGCUCCUGUCGUUGUUGUCACCUAGGUUUGCAAUACCGAAUGAUACCGCCCGUAUCGGAUGAUACGUAAUGGUCCGUCAGCAGAUCGGUAGAAGGACUGCCCACUACUGAGCGGCAUCAUCCAUUGAGGUGUUAUCGUCGUCGAUUGAGGCGUUAUCGUCGACGGUGGCCGAGGGAGAAGAAAGAAGAGGGAAAAGGAGAAGAAAAAAAUAGGAAAAAAAGGGAGAAUCUAGAGAUCAUCGCUCUCCUCCUCAAAAAUUCAAUUAUCCUUGGUUAUAUAUGAUUAAGAUCCAUCAUCAAUAAUAGAAACGAAGCCAUAUCUUAGAGAUCUAGUAGUACUUAGAAAAAAAUCUCUAAUAUAUAGUUUUAGUCACACCGUCCCAUGCUUGUAAUGCAUAUCUUUAAUAUUAUAAUUAAGAGCAUAAAAAUUAGCUUGUUAAGGCUGACCUUCCUGAAUUGGUAGUCCAAAUUAUCAAUGUUUUUUUUUUUUGUUUCAUCGGCGUCUUCCUGUGAUCCAUUUUGACUCCUUCAAGUAACAUCUGUCAGUUUAUUAUUUUGCUUUUGUUUGUCAUGACAUUAUAAUGACUCUUAACAAUUUCCCCCUAUUGGUUUAUCCAUACCUUCGUUUUCUGCUACGAGUAUCACCAUAGCAUAUCCUCGUCAAAACAUAUGAUCAACAUAAUUCACCAUCCAUCAGUUCUUUUGAAAACCUCAAUCAAAUGCAUCAUUGCCAAUCCUUUAAUUUGAUUCCCACUUAUGGCCUCGUUAUUUCUCUGCAUAUCACAGCACUCACUGGAUUAACCUCAGUCUAUUACAUGAUUACUGGAUAGGCAUAUCAAACCUGGCAUGUGACAUGGUGUUAUGACUGUUUGGAAUACAAUCAGUCUCAUGCAAAGGACUUUGUGCUGUAUCAAUAGCUCUAUUGUUCCAUAAACAUAUCCUACAUUUGAUCUUCUUCACAUAUUAGAUUGCCUCCUCAACAUCCAGGAUAGACAUCAUUUUGUUGCACACCAACCCCAAAAAGUUGAGACAUUAUAGAUUAUUGUUGUUAUCCUUGUAUAUCAUCUUUAAAUAAGAAAUGAUCAAUUCAGCAUUUGUUCUAGAGAUUGUAUUUCUGCAAUUGCCAACGGAAAAUAUGACUAAUUUUGGCAAUAUUCUCAAGCACUAUUUAUCUUAAUUAUGAUUAUGGUCCUAACAUUUACCUUCUCAGUUAAUCUAUAUAUUUUUUCAUAUCUCAGACAUUGAUCUUAAUAUAAGAUGCCUAUUCGAGCUUGGCAUAGCUGGUUAUCUCAUAUAUUAUUAACCAUAUUUAGGAAGGACGGUUUGGGGCGCUUCUUGAUCUGGUCGUUCAAGAAAACGAGGUUGGGAAAAGGGCAGCGGUUUUUUGGGAGGCAUCUCUCUAUUUAUAGCAAGCACCCCACGACUUGUGUACGGAGGACGAAUGACGUGAUGGCUUCAAAAUGAACGGCCGUGAUUUAACGGGAUGAUGACAGUGCAUACCGCCACGCGUAAUCUCCACCUUUCCCCUCUGUCGAAAGGAACGCAGAUGAUUGUAUCGAAAUAGAUAAUAGCAACAACGUUACCGGCAAUUACUAACUAUUUCUUGAGUAAAGCUUUGGUCGAUUAUUAAUGGCGUCUUUGUGUUCUCCCACUAAGCUAACGAGCCUCCUCCCCACCCGGCGAAUGGUCAGACCACUCUGUCUUUUCUUUAAUGACAUGUGAAGUUUGGACUCAUUCUAUAAAGGAUAUGUUUAACGUGUGUGAUUUGGCUUAGCUAUUAAUUUACUUAUGAGCAUGUAGUGAAUAACGUGAUUGACAGUACGUUUAAUUCAUGGACUACACUGCAACCCAAAGAAUAUAGAAGAGUGAGCAGAGGAGACGGGAGGAGUCUCACAUGCACUGUUUGGUGAGCGUCCCUCUUCGGUCCUUAAUUGGACCGGGUUUACCCAAUAAAUUGGAGUCCAUUCAAUUGAAAGCUUCGCUGGCCCUCAUGCAAUCAGUUCAAGCUCCUCCUCUUGAAUGAUUGGUGGCAGGGGACGAAACGUAGACGGUUCUUGACAUGGACGAGCAGAGGAGGUGGGAGGAGAUGCCGGUGGACUGCUUGGUUGCCGUCUUCCGGCGGCUCGGCCUGGACGACCUCUCCGUCGCGGUGCCCUUCGUCUGCAAGUCCUGGCUCCGAGCUUCCAUGGAUCCCGGAUGCUGGAAGGUGCUCAACUUUCAUCACCUCGACUUCCUCCCCUGGAGCAGCUUCGCCAGGCGGUUCAUGGCGCGGCACGCCCUGCGCAGCUUCUCCUUCUCGGGAUUCAUGAAGGUGGCAGUCGCCCGGAGCCACGGAUCCGCGGUGGAGCUCAGGUUUCCUCCCGUGUUCGGCGCAUCUCUUCAAGACCUGGUUUAUGCUUCGAUCAAGUGAGUGGAUUCUCGUUUUCCUCGCUGCCUAUCUCUGUCUCUCCCUCUCUCUCACGCUUGGAAUCUGUAUCUUGGCAGGUGUCCAAGAUUAAGGAUUCUUUCUUUGCCUGAUCUUACGUUGGCGGAUGAAGCCCACAUCCCGGAGAUGGUGGGCAAGUGGAAGGACCUCGAACGGCUCGAGAUGGGAACAAAGCCAUCGACUUUCUCGACGAUGGUCUCCGAGAUCAGCCGCAACUGCGGCAACUUCACAGCGCUCAGGGUAUCUGGAUCGAUCAAGAAGGAAGACGCAUGGGCGGUGGUGAACUCUCUUCCGGAGCUCAAACAUCUGGAGCUGAGCAAGUCGUAUCUGACCAAGGCGGAGCUGAUGGUCAUCAUGAACGGGUGCAGGAAGCUGGAGAGGUUGAGCGUCAGAAACUGCCUCGGUUUCGAGGCCGACGAGGAGGUGCUGAGAACGGGAUCGGGCAUCAAAGCCUUUGAGCACGAGGGUUCAAAGCUUCUUGAUGACAGUGGUUAUGAGACCGAUGAGCCCGAUUACCAUGAUUACUUCCUUCUGCCUCACUGCUCCUGUCACAUAUGAAAAAGGCCAUCAGAAACAUCUGCCAAAGGAAGACCGAUGGCAGAUUUCUUGAGCUCUCGUCUUGCUUUUGCUCCAAGUUCUCGUUUCUUGUUCCUCGAUUUGCAUGUUUAUUGUGAUUGUUAUUUGUUUUCUUUGCCUUAACAUCCAUCCAGAAAACGAAAGUCAACUACUACAGGUAGUAGUUAACAUUAGGUAUUAAAAACAUGAGAGGGAUUUAUGUGUAAUUUUGCGUUAGUUUGACCACGUAAUUUGGGAGCAAAGAAGAAAGGUUCCAAAUUAAAUAUAAUGGAUUAGAUUAAAUCCAUGAUUAGAUCUAAUCCAUUAAUCUAAAGUUCUAAGGCUUUCAUGCUCGCAUGACCAAUUAAAUCUAAUGGAUUUGACAGAGUGGAGACUUAGAUUAGCUGUAGAGUGGAAACGUUGAGGUUUUGCUGUAGGUAAAUGUUCUGUAAAUUAUGGAAUUUCCUAAUACUUAAUUUACCUUUAAAAAAUCCACUUUUUUAUUUGUUUUUAUAUGAGUUUAAUAUGGCCAAACAUUUUCCAUGUUUUCAGUUUUAUACAAAGAAGAAAAAAAAAGGCAACAAAGACAUGCCUUUACAUUGAUCAUUGCUAAAUUUUAUUCCCUUGCACUAAUAUAUUUUUAUACAUUUAAAUCCUUCAAAUGAUUUAGUAAUUUUAUGAUAGUUAGAGAAGACAGGUUCUAAACCUAUUAAUCCUACCCUAAUUUUACAUUGUUGAUUUUGGAUGAUUCAUAAAAAUUAGCUUCAUCAAUUAAUCUUGCUUACUGGUAAAUAUAUAUUUGUUUAUUACAUUGUAUAUUUUUUGAAGAUUGACGGAUGGACGUUGCUACGACAUUAUGUCCUUCUUCUAAUGUCAAAAUGUUAGAGAAAAUUAUUUCAAACAUGAAGAAGUAGGGGUGUCUAAAGUGGCUCCGAGGUUUUGCUUACAUUAAGACAUAUGUCAAGAGAGGUUUUCCGACCUAAUCCCUUCUAUAUUCAAUUUAUCUUGAGAUUCUUAAUAGGUAUGGAUUUCUUUUAGAAAGAAAGAGAUCUCUUGGUGUAACACCGAGAAUUCUCUUUUAUAUCUAAUCUUGGAGGGGAUAAUCUGUAACCGUCUAAACAUCUCCCUCUUGAUAUUUUGUUCACGUGAGCAACAGGGAAGAGUCCCAAAUUAUUUGCCUUUAACUUUUGUCCAUACGAGCAAAUGGGUGAAGGGUAACAUAAAUCUUUUUCUUUCAUUCGUCUGGUAAUUAUAUGUUUGAUGAUGAUUGAUUCUUAGCAUAUUCACUAUGAGAAUAGAUAACUAGAGAAGGCAAGUUCUAAAUCUAAUAAUCCUACUCAAAUUUUACGUUGGUUUUGGAUGAUUCAUAAGAAUUAGCUUAUCUUGCUUACCGGAAAACAUAUAUUUGUUCACAGCAUUAUACAUUAUGACAUAGCCAUUUAUGACCAUUAAUCUCUCCUUUUAGUCCUCCACAAGAAUCGGUAUAGUACUGGUCCUGCUGUCAAAUGGCUAUUCUAGUCAUCACAUUUACUUGUUUGUUUGUGAGAAAACAUCACACAAAAUUGGCAAUUUAUCAACUAUCAGCUGAUCUUCUUUAAGAGAGAGAGAGAGAGAGAAAAAAAAAGUCAACACACAACAUACAAUCAACAAUUUGUGGUCAACAUAGGAUGAACGAAGGCCUGUAGAAGGUAUGUGUCUGUAAAUGAUAUAGUGUGAAGGAUGUCCGAAGUUCCCAAAAUGUGGCAUCCAAAUUACAGGUGAUGGACAUCCAAUCUUUGUGCUUCUCGAAAGAGGACCAUUAGGGACAACUUGAAGCAUUAUAUGUUUCUUUCUGAUCUGGAAAUACUGAUGGAUUUGGAUAACAUGCAUCUUUGUUUGUCUGUCAACAUGAGAAACCAAGUAUAUCACAUACUGACCACAGAAAUAUGGCAGCAGAAAAGUUCACGACCUCAGAAGACAUCAGAUUCCAGCAAUGCAUCAACAUCAGUCUCCAAGUAGUGCCAAUUCUACAUCCUUCAUCUUUAGGCAGCAGUGAUGCUUCUUACUCCUUGGAAAUCGAAGUCAAGAGAACAGAACAGCAGGUGAAGACCUUGCAGAACUCAGUAGUAAUUCCAUUAAUGAAGUCAGAAUUUAGCCUAGAAACAGUGUCAACACUGAUGUGGUCCACGAAAAGGGACACUCUUCAAAUGCUCAUGAGGAAAGAAUUGGAACAGAGGAGAUGGAAGGCGAUGCCUUUCGGUGCUUCUGCAAAGAACUCAGAUUGCAGAGGAGCAGAGAGCUUCGUCCGGCAAAGCGGCAAGGGAUAAUGCCGAGAAGCCUUCGAUUGUUCAACAGCGUAAAGAUCUUCUAUUUUCUAAUAGAAUUUAUGAUCCACAUCAACAAAGUUGACACCUUGAACAUUCUUGGGAUCCAUAAACCACUGUUACACUUCAGGUUAGAACAGUCAUACAGAUGCUCGAGCGUUAUGUUUACUGGAAGAACGUCCACGCAUAACCAAAUAAAAGACUAUGAAACAGGGGAGGAAAGGCGAUGGCUUUUGGCCUCCUACGCGUCGAGGAAGCCGGUCUUCUGCAGCACGGCGUUCCUCACUCGUCGGAGAUCCCUUCCCUUGAGGGUCCUUCCCACGCCCUCGAACACCGAGAACGUGAUCUCGUUCGAUCUCGCCACGAUAACGUGCGGCGGCAGCAUCCCCUCCUCCUCUGGCUCCUCCUUGUCGGCCUUCUCCUCCGCCCAUCCAUCCAAGACAUCAGCUUUCCGCCCCUUCCUCCAACUCGGCCACGCCGGGAUGUUCACCGGCGCCGAUUGAUGGCGGCCCACCAUCCCAACCACCGAAGCAUCCUGCGCCAUCCCCGCCGGCACCGCUACCGCUACCGUCCGCGUGGACCUCGACGUCGGGCGCCGCUGAAGCACAAGAGGGAGCCCGUCCUGCGCCAGCGCGGCUGAAAGGCCGUGCCUUUCCGGACCGAACGGAUGGAGUCGGCUGGAAGGCGAGCAGGAAGAAUCCAGGAGAGGGCUGCGGACGAGAUUCGACGAGGUGGAGGAUAAGCCGUCGAAGGAAUCACGCUCAUCGUAGGCGGUGGACCAGACCACGUCGCUCUCGUCGAGCUCGAGGUGGAGUACCGUAUCGGAGUCGGGCUGCUUGAGGAUGCCGAGGAGGCGGAGGGGGGAUGAGGAGGAUGACGGCGGCGCCACCGAUGUCAAGGCUUCCUCUCCCAUCGUCCGGCGGCCUCGCUCUUCUUCCCCACUGGGCAUCUCUGGUUAUAUCGUGGGGGUGUAGAUUCAUCGUAAAGUUAAAUAGUACCGGAAGAGCAGCGCACGCGACACGUCAGCGUAAUCGGGUGGGUGUUCCUGCGAUUUGCUCUCUCUCCCCAUACGCCAAACACCAUUUCUUUGGGCUCACAUCUUCAUAUUCUUUAGUCUAAUCAAUAAUAUACUAAUUAUUUUUUAUCAAAAUAAUUGCUAGUUGGAUACGACGAUUGACUCUGAUGAGAUGAUUGCCAACUUUUGCUAUUCAAUAUAUAAUAUAUAAUACUGAUAAAAUUAUUUAAUUAUAUAUUCAUCGAGGAGUAGGAGAUCAUGAACUCAUAAAUCCAUUGUGUCAUAAAAAAGUAAAAUCGUAUACGAUGUCGAUCAUCGGAUAAUUUCUUAUGAAUCCAUCGCAUCAAUGACGAUAAAAUAUAAUUUAUAAAAUACUUUUCAUGGAUUUGCAUUCCUUCCUUGAUUUUUUUAUUUAAUUAUAAUAAUUUUAAUAGAAAUAAAUAGUAAAAUAAUAUUUUAUCAAACAAUAAAUAGAGAGUGAUCUUUACAAAUAAUAAGACAAAAUAAAUAAGCUUCCUAUGUGAAGAGUCAUUUUGCAGGGACCUUUAUUGAAACUUUCCCAUUCAUGAUAUCAUGCAUAAGCUCCUGCAAAUCAUAAAUACUGAGUAAAAACACACAUGCGUAAAGAUUCUUUUGUACUAUUUUAAGCAAACAGAUGGUUGAGAUUAAAGUGGGAUUAAUGACGGAAGGAAUUCAGAAUAUUCCGUUUAAUCCUAUGCAAUGUAUCCUUUAUUAGCUUGCAUUCCUUCGUACAUCCAUCCUACUAAUCUUUUAAUCCUAACAAUUCGAUGCAGCGUAUCUACAUAGGUUCAGUAAUGCCAAUAUAUCAUGUUUAGGGAGAUUUGAAAUCUUAACCUAUCUAGUAAUAAUCUUUAUUGUGGAUCUGAAUCUUGUCUUCGUCACUCUUAUGAAUGAAUGAAAUAGAACAAAGGAUUUUGAAGGGAUUAUUAUAAUUUUUAUAUGAAUAUUAGAUCAAAAUAAUCGAACAUAAUUAAUAGUUCUAAUAUAAUAUUUUAAUUUGUCAUGUGAUUAAGAGAAUCCUCAAGAGGUAUUUUAUAAUAUAGUUGUUAGUGAAUCUUUAAGUCGUGGUCAAAAUGUUAGCAUAGUUUGAUCCGAUCUCGGAUACGUAAGGUUGCCCACGUGAAGAUUAGGGUGGUGGAAGUGAGCGUCGGGUUGGGUUGAGUUCAGGCCGCGUUGCCUGCUUCUUCGUUACCAGCUCCUACACAAAUGUCGAGGUUGGGAGGGAGAUUUUCCGACCCAAUCCAUUCGAAGGCUAAAUUAGCAUUGAGUAGAAUAAGGAUGAGUCGAAUGCUUGAAGUCCCCCGACGUUGGUUAUAGGGUUGGCUUUUAUACAUGCGAAGGAGGGUCGAUCGUACAUGGUCCUUUAAUGCCUAUCAGCUCCUCGAGAAGAUGGCUCAUACCCUACGGACGAGUGCUGAUCGACCUAUAUGAACCCGUGCCGUGCGACACGAUUCCGAGCUUUUCGGAAUGGCUCCACGGUAUUCGGUAUCGACUUGUACGAUAUCGAACAGCGCAAGGGCGUGUGACCACCUCGUUUGUCUCAGAGGUGUUAUGCCACUGGAGGUCCUUUGUUGUCCCUAUCGUGAUCGUACGGUCACGUGAAUAGUAUUGAAAUGUGUCAUAUCAUUAUUUCCCUCUCUCAAAGAGACAUGCAUCGGAUUCCUCCGAGGAUGGUGCUGAAAUGUGUCAUAUCAGCUGUGUAUGACUAUUAUAUUGAAGUUGUGGUUAAUGUCAAAAAUAAUUAUAUUUAUUAUUCGCUCAUGAUGUCGUAAAAUCGUGUGUUGAAGCUGGAGCUACCGUGCAAUGGUUCAUUGAGACAGCUCCUUCGUUAACUUGAUGUGCUGAAAGUUAUAUUUGACCCAUGUACCGAUGCCACACUAUCACCUUUAUAGAUUUCGAGCUUAGACCGAGUAGAACUGAUGUGUUGAGCAAGUGGAUUUCAUAUAUCGAUCCAGUGGAGCUAACAUGUGAUAUUUUCAUCAUCAACUCCAACAUUGUGUUAAAAUUCCUGCGUUCUUUUUGAUGAUCACAAUUAUAGGAGGGAUAAUACUGAUCAAAUCUUAAAAAAAAAAAAAUCUCGAUUAAGGUUUUACCAAAAGACAUAUAACCGUAUUUUUUUUCUUAUAUUUUAUUAUGUUUAGAAUAUUCUUUGACAAUUGUUCUCACAAACUAAACCUAAACCAGAGUCUUGUAACGAAGAAGAUGCUGAUCCUGUGGCAAACUCACCAUCAUCCACUGGCAAGGGUGGCUCACAUGAAGACAGACAACGUCUGAAAUCACCAUCUGAUGCAAUUAGAUAAGACCUUGAAACUUUUGUUUCUCACAUCUUUUCAUAUGAAGAUGCCCACUACCUGACACAUCAAAUCAAUAGUCUGCGUUCCCCAAACACUGACAUAUGGUAAAGCUAUGCUAUGGUCUCUCAUGCAUGUUAGACAAGCUUCCACCCAAACCAUACAAUGAAAAGAGAUUCGGCUCUCUGGUCAUCAAACAUGCAAACUUUAAGAGGUUUAUAAAGAAAAAAAAAACAUCGUAACUAUAAUAAUGGUAUGAAUUGGGAUAUGUUUCAUUUGUACAUCUAAUCCACUCGAGUGACUCCACUGUGGCAAUGCAGCCAUAUUGGCUAGUGAUGGCAUCGGUGUGUGUGUGCCUAACUGAAGCGACUAUUUAUGCUUCUCAGAAGCAGAAGCAUUGUAGAGGAAUCGAAUUCAGUUGGAGAAUUGCAAACAACUAAAACUACAAAGAUGGUACAAAGGGUAAGAGAGAAGGAAGAGGGGCAGAGGUCAUUCAAUUUUGUCAUGAAGGGUCACCACCAAGUGAUGGGCAUCAUCCAAGAGCUUCCACACAUCCAACUGCCCUGCCAUACUAUUGCAUUCCCUUAAGAUUUCAUCCAUACUGCUAUACUUCUCUAUGAUCAACUUCCUCCUCUGCAGCACCGAGGCUGCGAUGGCAUAGAGUAGCAAGUCAUCGGUGGGAGGGGCACGUAGCCUUAUCCUCGCCCAUACUGAAUUUCCAAUCCGUGCUCGAAUUGCCGCCUGAUCUGCCCACAUCACCUCCCACAAGCACAAAGUCUGCUCAAAGGUUAGUUCUCUUCGGAACAUGACCACAACCAUUCGGUACAUGAAGAAGCAGUCCUCAGCUUGAAGCUUCUCCAAGUGCCUGUACAGGUGAGAAUCCUUGGACUUGAUGAUCUUGGAGACAAUGUUCAGUUGUCUCUUUAUGCCCACCUCAUCAAGCCUGAAAUUGUGUCUAGCUUUCUUCAUAAAUCCUACAAAGCACCAAAAGGCCUCAUGAUCAUCCUCCAUGACGGCAAGUAUGGGAGAGAGAAGGUCGCUCAUUCCUUGGCAGUAGCCAAUUUCAGGGUCAUAGAGUGCAUACGCCUCAAGUACAGCAACCAGCCGUGAAGCAUGGUACACUUGGCAUGGCUCCAAGUGGUCAAAAUCUUUGAGACCAACAGCAUUAGCAAACUUAAAAGCCUCAUCCUCAGAGACUCCAGCUUGAACUGAAGAAUAGUAUAUCCACUCAGCAUUAGCUCGGACAGCAUCUAAUCGUAUGAUACGUUGCCAUGUUGCAAAAUCCUCAGCUUUUGGAUCCGAUCUAUUAGUUUCACCCAUGACUGAAUCAAUCUCGGAAAGCUUAGGAUCAGCUUCACUGCACCCUGUUGAGGAAAGCAUCAAAAUGCUUGCAGGUUCUUCAUCAGUGGACUCACUGUCAGAAGAAUCUGUAUCAUCUACAGAUGCAUCUACACGAGUGAUUCCACUUUUGUCAUCUCCUUCCAUUAUAACUAAGCUGGAGGCAGGUGUUUCCUCAUACACCUGCUCCAUGGUGCCAUUACAUGGGCUUCUUUGUUCAUCGGAGAAUGAGUCCCUGGCACUAAAAACCUCUUCAGAGCAAGUGGAAUCACAUCUCUGUAUAAGACUGGGACUGUCUGAAUAACUUGUUUCAAUUAUUUCAUUGAACUCGAUUUCAUCAUCAUUGCCGUGAUUUAACAAUCGCCAACAUCGUCUCCUUAGUUUCUCAUAUUCUUUUCUGUAAAAAAAUGGAAAAUAUAAUAUGUGAGUUGCCUUCAAUCCAGCAGGUCAGGGUAAAUUUGCUUAGUACCAUUAACCAUUCUAAAUCUGUAUCCAGGACAAACAUUGAUGAGGAAAGAUAAACUGACAGAUCAAGAAAGGAACCUUUCCACCAAAUUAAUUAAGAACAGCUUGUUACGGGCAAAUUAAAACAAGAGAAGGAAAAUAAGGACCAAGUUAGGGAAAUAAGCCCAAGCAAAAAAAUAAAAUCUCGAUCCAAUAUUGGAUAUGGUAACUAUGGAUGGAUAUAGUACCAGGAUACCAAAAGGUAUACCAGCCUAUUCCACCCAAUAUAACUGGAGAAGAACAAAACAUAAAAAAACAAAAACACAAAAACUUAACAAUCAGUACCAAUCUAUAUGGUCCAGUACUGAUUCUUGGUUAGCCCAGUAAAGACCAAUCCAUGAUAACUAACACAAGGGAAAUUUAAUUCCUUAUGCCCAAGUACCUCUUUUGCACUCGAAUGGCAUUUCUUUCAGCCUUUGAACUCUUCAGGUCGUAGCUGCACAACAGAAUAAGGUCAAAAUUAAUAAAACGAUUCUAACAUCUCCACAGAAGAUCAAAUCAGUUCUAGUGCCCAAACAGACAGUAAUUUAUGGUUUGUAAAAUGCCUCAAGUACACAAAAAGCCACAUCAAAAACCAAGAAACCAGUACGGCAACUUCCAUUUUCUAUACUUAUUUCUGCUUAUUAUAUAAGAAUGACACCAGAGUAUGCAGCUUCUCAGAUAUUAAUCUAUUAGUGCUCAAUAAGAUGCCAACAAAAUUUUAGCACAAGGACUGUAUUACCUUCUUAGGAUGCUAUGACCAAUUUUACCCCACUGGCAUUGUACAAGAAUAAUGAUAACCUCUAUUUAAUAACAUUAAAAUAAGAAUGGGCAGAUAGAUAAGCUAAAGACUAUUGUAGAACAAUCAGAUAUUUAGGAUGUGAACAUACACUGUGCCACAAGCAUCUGCCAUAUUCAAAUAUUAAUGCUGGAAAUGUUAUAAUAUUAGUUACUAUACUAUUUGUAGUGGUAACAAAGUACUGAAAAAAAUAUGAAGUUCACGUCCCUAAGUGUAGCUUGUGCAAAUUAGGUGACCCAAAAGUGUCCAUGUAUAAUAGAUUAAAUCCAAACAGAAUAAGAACAAUUUGGAUGAUUCAACCUAAAUAACAGCCACAGAUCUGGCCACAGCAGAGCAAUGAUAGCUGAUAGGCAAGAUUGAGUUUUCUUUACAAAAUAAUCAUGAUCACGCCUCUCAUAGUUGAAGUCCCUGAUUAAUUAGAUUGCACAUGUUCCAUGUCAUGUAGGACCUCCUUCAGGUUACACAGAACUAGGAAAGUAGCAGGCGGCUGCCCUUCUUUCCUAAAACAAACGAAUAACAAAUAGGAUUCUGACCAUUUCCCAUAGUUGACUGAAAUUAGAACCACUUGACCCUCCUUUUCUUGUGUUCUUAACCUAAAUCAGAAAAAAGGAUUCUAAAUAUAGCAUUCUCAAUUCUCUUUAACAAGAUAGAAAUAAAAACCUAUGAGAAUUCCCCAACAAAUUGGACACAUAUUUGUAAACCCAAACUCAAAGUCUCAAACCUCAAACUAAACUUGUUUGAAGACCAUCACGGAACUAAAUUUUUAUACAACUAUCAAAUUGAAUAUGUUGAUAUUGCACAGAACUUGUGGCUAUGCCCCUGAACAAUUUCACCUGACCACCUAGUUGUUAUCCAUAUAUGUCGGAUCACGAUCAGGAAUCGCUUAUUCUUUUGCUACUGUUGGUUCUUAAUCUUUGUGGAUAACUUAAAAGUGAUUUUCUCACACAUGAUAGGAAAUCCUCCAUCAUAUAUUUUCAUACAACUCAAACAACACAAAUUCAUGCUUCAUACCUAGAGAUUGUCAUAGAAAAUAAAAUUACAAUUUUCUUAUUCAUAUUAUUUCUUCUUAUUUCAGAGAGAAGAGAGAGAGAGAGAGAGAGAGGCAACAUAACCACUGGGUAUCUGCAUUCAUUGAUGCAAUGGAAUGUUAAGUUCCAAAAAAGAAAAAUUACAACAAAGCUUAGAAGAACUAAAAUCUUAUGUUUUUCUAUUUAAUCAUUUAUUUCCAACAUAGCCGGAGAGCAAAACUUUGACACUGCAAUAAGGUUGCUCCUUUGCAACAAUAGGGUCAAGGGUUUGAGCCAGAAAAUCAAUCACUUUGUUUGCAACAGUAUUACAUACUUCAACCCUCCCAAAAAUUAGUGAAGAUAUCAUGCACUAGAUCAUCCUUAUUAUGAAAUUAAGAACCAUAGCAUCAAGGGUUCAAUUCAUGGAAAAAGCCUCCUUGUAAAGGUUACAUGUACGUAAACAGGCUCUCCACAAACAUUAUAUUGGCAUGAGCCUCAUGCUUUGGACAGUCCUUUUACACAAGAAUAAACAAAUUUAAAAGUGCAGCAUUUUACAGGAAAUUUUACAAAGAAUUAGUUGGAUCUCAGUUAAGCCAACCACACAUACAAACAUUAUAAAGUUAGCCACAUGAUAAGGUAUGGUAAUAAAUAAAAAACAACGCAUACUAAAGGUUCAUUAGGUGUGGGCAUGCACAUUCGUAGCUACAAUGUACAUUAUGUCGAGAUAUAAACUUCAGAUAUGAACUACAAUCAUCAGUUAAACAAGUGACUAAAAUUUAAUAUAUAGUAAAGUGUUUGGAAGAAUUAAUAAAAAUUUAAUCACAGAAAAACAAUGAUAAAAAUUAGGUAGUACCAGAAUAGAUACAAAUUGAACCCUAUCUUACAACAACAAUUUCAGAAACAAUGAAUAGUAGCAUUUAAGAAGAUGGUUUAGAAUCUCACACUCCAAGAAGGAAAGGCCAGACUUCAGCCCUGAUGCUAGGAUCAAUUCCCUGAACCAUAGGUCAUAUAACUGAAUCAGUGGACCUUGAUCAAAAUGGGCCAGACAGCUAAUAUAAAUUGAUCAGAAAGAGACAAUUUUUGCUGGAUGCUUACAGCACGGCGAACUUUCUUUAGAAACUUCACCCCUCCAUCUCGAAGCUUUCCAUCUGGCAUGAACAAAUUGUUCCACUGCUGCCUAGUAAGUGCAUGCUUUCUUUUCCUUCGAGACCAUGGUGAUCUAAGGCUGCCUCUGAAAAAUUGCAAUAUUACUUAUAAGAACCAAUGAAGAAUGAAGAAGGGUGGUGAACAAAUUAAACAAAUUAAAUAAGUAAGAUGGUCAUUAUAAUACCACUCCUCCUAGGUGAUUUUCAAAGACAGCCAAGUACAACUGUACAAGGUUAAGAAGUCAAAGCCAUGAAUUGAACAUAGGUCAUAAAUUAGAUCUACAAUUCCUCCACAGCAAAUACCGAUUACUGAUGGGAGAAAAUUUAGUAGUUUCUCUGACUGCUAGCUAUUCUUUGAAUUCCAUUAUUUAAUAAUUCAACUGGUUUAGGAAUUAAGUACCAGGGAUGUCCAAUUGACAUUCAAUCAAAUAAUUCUGCCAAAUAUCUCCUUUUCUUGACUUUAGGUAGUUCUUUAUAGAUGAACAUACAAUGUUCUUUUGCAAUGAACUUUAAUGCUUCUUACUAGGAGAUGAUUUUAGACAAUACAUUAACCUUAAUGAGAAUGUUAAAGAUUCAAAUAAAAGAAAUAGUGAACCAUAGUGCUAUGUUGUGAAAUAAUGAUGAGUUGGAUGUAUGUACCACUAAGAAUAAUCACUAUUCCGGAUAAGGUGUUGGGAACUGAAUAAAGUAAAUACCAAUGAUGUUAGAAAAGCUCUAAUAGUCUCCUAAGGUAUUUAAACUUCCUGUGAUGUCGAUAUGCUAGAUUUUAGCAGUAGCAUUUGCUCUUGAAAGGAUCGAUUUGACUCCCACGGCAACAUGCAGAAAGAAAGGGCUGCCAUUAUAGCAAUUUGAUGAUAUAUUGUAAGGAUGAUCCAAUCAAAAACAGGCAGCAAGGCCAAAUUUGACAUGAAUGUUAUAUAAGUGAAUGAAGUGAUAACAACAGUGUUAAAAAAGCUCUAAUAGUUUCUAAGAUAUUCAAAUUUUCUCUGAUGUAUAUAUGAUAUAUUCAAGCAUUAAUAUUUGCUUUUGAAAAGGUUGCUUUGUGUCCCAGAAACAACACCAAAUAGAAAAAAUUUGCUGUUAUACCAAUUUGAUUAUAUAUGGUUAGGAUGUUACAAUCCGAACAGGACAUGGCAACAGACAUAAGUAUCACAGGAGCUCCCCAAAGGAGAACUGAGAUAGAUAGUAGAAGAUGUCUGAUUUACUUGACAACUUACAAUUUUAUCACACAGUCUAAAAAGUUAUACUAGUGAAAAUGUAAGUGCCAUAUAAACAAUAAGUGGUAAUAGAGCUCGUACAUUACAUAGUAUUUAAACAACAGAGGCCAAAAUUACUUUUCUAAAAUCUUCUUAAAAUGAGAAAGACAUCAACCACUGAGGACAAAUCACUGUGAUAAGUAAUCAUUAAGCAUUUAUCACUAAAAAAAAGAGAGGGCAAAAUAGUAGCUUCAUAUGCAGGAGAUCAUUCUUAGGUUACAGCCAGCAAACCAAGUAAACUAUCUGAGCAAAUUAGUAUGGAAGACUAAAAUAAAAAGGAAUUGAGUGGCCAAAAGAAAUUAUAGCUCCUAGUCCCUCUUGUUCUUCUAUUGUUCAAUUGCGUUUAGAGACAAGAUAUUACAGGGAAGCUGAUCUUCUAGUGAAAAUUAAGGAGACAAUCAAAGACAUGGAACAAGAAACACGUUAUGAGAAGAGGGAAAAGAUAAGGGUGACUCACCGAUCAGGAAGAGGUGAGGAGGCAACAAUGAGAAGCGAUCUCAAAUGGAUCCAUGACGACUUAGGCGACGACGACGAUGGUGAAGACGAAGAAGUAUGGGAUCGUCGGAGGACACUCAUCUAGAAGCUUCUCUCUCACUCUUCGAAACACUCGAUUUCUACCCUCCUAUUUCUCAAUUACUGGGGUAAGGAACUAGAAAGCAAGCGCCCUUUGCUGUUUACCUAUGAGAGGAGACGACGAGGAUGGCGGCCAAGGCGAGUCCCGCCACGGCCAUCAAGCCGACCGUCACGCCCUCAUGCCACAGCCCGCCUCCACCGUCGCCGCCACAGAUCCACGCCCCGUCGGCUCCCACCGCGCUCCCGAUCCCGCGCUCCACCAAGCUCCAAACCACGUAGAUCACCCUCCACCGCCCCGCUGCCUCUCCGACGACCCCCCGCCGCCUCCUUCGAACCACCAGUCGCAACUGCUCUGCUCUCUUAUGUGUAUAUAUCACUCUCUGUGCAGACCGAGAGGAAAGGGGAAGUUGGACCACGAGAGAGAGAGAGAGAGAGAGAGAGAGAGAGGGGAAAAAGAAGCUCGGUGGGUAUAGGGAGUCGAGAAAGGAGGGGAGACUUCAACUUUUGUAUGUUAAAGAGAGGGGGAAAUGAGAACAUGUGCUGAUCGCAUGUGAACACAAUCUACAAAAGAGGUGAGUGGGCGGAAACACCGUUCUGUCUUCGCUCUCUCUCUCUCCGCUCCUUCUACCAACCUUCUUGGAAUUAGUAGAGGAAAUUAACCCAACCGCGGGCUUAAGUAGGGUUAGCCAAACCCAAAUGAAUUAGGUCAUUGAUAAAUUGACCAUUAUGUUAAUUAAUUUGUUGUUGGGUUCACUCCAAUUGGACAUAAAAAAAAAUUAUUAUUAUUAUACAUCCAUUUUGGAAUCGCUAAAGAAACCAUUUCUUUAAGGACACAAAAAAAACAUAUUUCCAAAGAGAAUAUAUUUCCAAAUGGCUGGAUGAAGUUGGAUCCUCCUUCCAGUUUAGCUGCAAGCAAGUAGGUCAUCUUCAACAAAGAGGACUUCACAGAAUAAGGUGCCUUUCCCUUCUAUAAAUAUGCAACCAACAAAAGAAGGAUCACCAGAAUGAACUAUCAUGAAGGACAUGACCAUCACCACCAAAGUCCAAUGGCAAUGCCAGCCCUUGGGGUCCAGCUUUGCUCCUUCCAUCCAAACUCCCUCAUCCCAACACUCAAAAAGAGAAACAGAAACAUCAACUUGAGUUGAAAGAGAUUCCAAAGGGUGAAAGAAAAAUGACUAGGGAAAAAACAAAAAACACAGGGAGACAGACUCAUGUUCUGAGCCACACUUAAAGACAAAGAAAUAGCAUAAAUGCUCAUUUUAGUUAAUCUACUAGUGAUGGGAAGACAGCAGUGUCAAAAUGGUAAGCAGAGAUAAUACACCUCCUAUGUCCAGGCUUCUAAAGCCAAAAAUCAUAUUUGGUUCCAUGGCAAUGUCCAUUCCAUUAAUUUGGUGGGCUAAAACUAGAUAAAACAUGAGAUAAAUUUUAUCAUACUUGCAUUGCUUACAAGAAAGAAAACUAGAAACAAGCAAAGAGGGGGAGAUUUCAUUAAUAUUGAUGUUACAAUAAGCAGGCUAAGGCAGUAACAUAUCAAGAACCCAAUUAUCAAAAAUGACAGUAAUAGUGGCAUCAUUACCAAUAAAUCUCAUAGAAUCAUAUGUGAGGUGUUCAAGGGCCUGAAAAAAAGUGCCAACUCUGGUUGUAAUUAGAGGAGUACUAUAUUUGCUGAGGGUUUAGUGGGUCAUAAUAGGCUUCAACACUGUCAACCCAAAAGUUUUGGUUAGAUGAGUUGGAUAAGUAAUAAGAGAUUAUUUUGAUCUUAAGGGAGAACUUCAUAAUGUGAAGGUCCCUUAAACACCUACUUCUCCUUCACAUUUGGCCAAGGUGACAGUAUUUUAGGCUAAAAGAUGCAUUUCCAAAGCUUGGGUUUUAGAAUUCCAAAGGAAUCUCUUGACAGAUUUGAUGAUUAAGAUGAUGUUGAGAGAAUGUAAAGGAGUGGCAUUAGGACCGAUCAAUUAGUUUGAGAAAAGAGUGAAUCCUAUCCAUGAUAAAAUUUACUCAAAAUAAGCUGAAUAAAACUAUUCAUUGCAAAAGUCUAAAUUUUUCUAUGAGCUAUAAGAGCACCCGAGUACUUUUCGGGGAUUAACCAUCUUCAGUGUUAAAUACGUGGUAGAUAUUUCUCCUAACUUCAUGCAAAAUAUGCCAAGAGAAAAUUAUUUCUGAUACUAAGAUGUUAAUCUUUUGAUCGGUAAGAAUCUCAUGGAUAUUAAGAAUGUCAAGAACCGAUAAAUAAACCUUUUGAUGUAUGUCGUCGACAUACAUCUUAAAGGUCAACAUGAUAGCAGCUUGAGAGGGAAGGAACCACUAUGCAUCCACAAACUGAGAUGCCACAAACAUUCAUUUAUGAUCUAACACACUCUUUGUCCAAAUCUUAGACUGUCUUUGGAGAGUGACGGAUCAGUGUGAUGGGAUAAAAAAGGAUCCCCUAUGACUUUUCAAUUAAGACAGCAUGUGGCAAGAGUGACAGCCCAUUGACAAUGAGAAGUCUUGAAUUAAACCUCUUCUCUCUUGACAUUUUUUCAUCAGUCGGACCUGAAUUGAUUGCUGGAGUUCUCCUGCUUGAGCCAACUUUAUCAUCUCAUCGAGUAUUAUCCUGCAAGUUGAUAUCAUCAUAUGAAAGGUUGACCACAUUGGAAGUCACCACAUGUGAGGUUCAUCUAGUGAAGAUCAUAAUAUUGGAGGUCAAGCAAAUCGAAGAUCAAUCACAUCAAGCGUCGACAUAUUGACGGUCAAUCACAUCAAAGGCUAACAAAUUAAAAGUCAAAAUUAGGGGCCAUUACAUCGAUUAUAGAACUUCUACUCCUAUAUGUUCAGCUACCUCGACGAACAAAAAUGACUUCAUUUAUCAUUAUACAUAACACAUGCUUUCUACAGAAGAAAAGAGGAUUGUUUACUGUAAUAUAAUUAUAAAUAUCUAGUUAAAGCAUGAGGCUACAAAGGCUGAUUUCUGUAUAUUCUGAUCAAGAAAGUACUAAUAUUAGCAGGCCAUGGAUUGGCUCUGGUUUUGCUUUGCUUUUAGGAGUCACAUUACUCCCCAUUAGCCAUGAGCAAUGCAUAGUUUGAUAGCAUUUCAAAUUUGCUUCAAUCCAAAGAGUAAUACUCUUUCAAAUCCAAUUAACCCAGAAAAUUUUCACCCCUUCCUACAUUAUUUCACCUGAUUUAGUUGUGCUCAAUGAAUAAUCCAAUGGCAAACCAAUGAACCAAAUAAGUGUCCACAUACCUAUUCCAAGAGAAAGCUUGACUUCAAGUCCACUGGUGAGGCAGAGACUCCACAUCCCAGCUGAAGUUCCACAACAUCUUGGGUGGCCCUGACACCAUAGACGAUGGCCAACUUCUUACCUAAAGUAAAAGAAGAAGUGAGUGAGGGCAGAAUUAGAGAAGCAAAGGCAUCCAAUUCAUGCAUGUGUGUCGGAGAAAGUACAGAAAGGUUGAGGCCAGCAAAAAGGAAAGGAAGGUGGUUGUCAGCCACACUGAAGUGCUCGCCGCAUAUCCCGGGAAGAUGCCGCCCGCUGAGGAAGAGGCAAUCCAUCUCAUUCUCACCCUUCAUCACUUCAAACAGUCAGCGGUGCUGUGGCCACCACUAAGCCUGUGGCAUAACCUGCACGAUUAUAUAACCAUCUGAGGAGCCAUCUCCAUCCUCUCCUCUAAAGAGCAAGUAGAAGACCAUGCCUUAUGUAAUCAAGGCAGGCGGCGCGUCCAUCCUCGCCGACGACGACGGUGGCGGGCUGGUGAUGAUGCGCCGAGGUCGGUGGUCGUGGUGUCGAUUGCCUUUUGGUAGCAUGUCUUCACUGCUUGAGAUGCAAGGAAGGAUUGGCACUGAGUGAAAUGUACGUGGCUUGCAUCGCUGUUUCCCACCCUUGGUAGGGCAACUUGUGACCUUUGGCAUUCCAUCUUGAACUUGCAGGCAAUAAAUUACAUGCUAUGUGUCUUCUUUGCUCUUUGAAUGCACAAUAAGCUCUACCGCAAGAUGAUUUGGUGUUCUUCUUGCCUAUGCUGUGCUAUGCUAUGCUAUGCUAUGCUUAGAUGGAUUUAACACCAUCAAAUGCCAUCACGUUGGGACGAAGAAGCAACAGCGCUUUCCCAUAGUGCUGCUGGCUAUCAUCUGCGAAGGGAUCGUGUGACGUGCAUGAUCGUUGCACAUACAAACUAUGAAAGACCACUUAGUUAAUAUACGACGCAGAGACGUUCUGUCUCCUCAGAGGAUGAAGCGAUUCAUAUCACCACCGC